rnacentral:lncRNA from 1 species
UAUUUAUUACCAUAAAUCCACCUGCUGGCUGCCCCUGUCACUCAAAUCUUUAUAUUUAAUUUCCAUUAUCGUCCAGUAGGAGUAAGUUACAGGAUGCCACGUGGCAAUUCGUGCGUUUCGUUUUCGAUUUUCCGGUUUACGAUUACGGGCGCCGAGCGCGUGGCGGUACGGAUGCAACAGUUAUGCCAUGUUGUUUGCGUGUGAUUUUUAAGGUUCGUUUGGUUGUCGUAUAGCAUAGCUCAAUAUUGGAUCCAAUUUUCUUUUUUUAUUUCUUUAUAGGUAGUAAUAAUAAUUAUAUAUCACAAAUAUUCUAUUUAUACAAACUUAUUGAUUUAUCAUCAUUUAUAACAUCAUCUUUUCUUUUGAAAUUUUUCUGUUUUCUCUCAUCAUCUAGUUUCAUGUGGAAGGAUAAAAUUAUGUUGAAAAAUAAAAUUUGUAUGAUAUACAUUAUAUUUUUCGAUUUUAGCCACACAAAAUAGACUUUUAAAAGUUUUGGUCUCUAACUUUGACCGUUUGACAUUUUACCCAAUACAACGCGCACACACUUUGGCCUCUGAAAGUUUUGAACAAUGACUUUUAGCCCCUCAAAUUUUCAUCUCAUCCGUACUCAUGUCACAUUAAUUUGUAAAAAGUUAUUUUUGUAUGAAUUUAUAAAUUUGGUAUUAGUUUAUCUCCAAUAUUGCACUAGUAAUACUUGUUUGACAUGAUUUUUUUUUUGAGAAAUAUCAAGUCAUUUGUACUAAAAAAAAAUUAGGUACAUAUUUUUUAUUUAUAAAGAUAAAAAACAAUAAAAAAUUAUUUAAAAAUUUGAUGCAUUGAAAUGUUCGCUUUAAAAUGAAGAUGGUUGAACAGGCACUUGAGCCUGGAACUGAUGAAAUUCAUGAGAAACUAAGUUUAGUUUUAAUUCUAGUAGCCAAUAAAACAUACUAAAAAAUCUUUGUUGUGUAAGCUAAUCACUAGAUUUUACAAGAUUGUUUUUGAGAUUUUUGUAAUUUAAAAGAAAUUGCAACUUUCAAACGAUAUAAAUAAUGUGAUACUAACUAUAUUCUCUUUCUUGUACAGCUUUGUCGUUUUAUUGUCAUAAAAGAGAAUUUUAGUUUAAACAAAUAAGUUUAGUUUUGUUCGUAGCACAAAUAACUCCAAUUUUGUUCAUACUGUGAGAAUAUAAUGCUUAACGUAAUACAUAACUCAAAAUAUAAUUUGACAAAAUUAACUAUGGGAAAAAGUUUGACAUGUAACUAUUUCAAAUAUUUUUAGUAGAAGAUAUUUACUUUUUUACUAUAAUUAUUAUCCAUUUUCAAUUUCUUCAAUGGUAAACUAAUACCAAUUUUCCAAAUCUGUAAACUUAAAAUUUAAAAUUUAUUAAGAUCUUGAAUUAUCUUUUUUUUUCUUUUAUUCAAUUGGUGUGGUUUGUUCUUUUUUAUUAAGUAUGAUUAAUUAUAAAUAAUUUUAUGAAUUAGUUUUUUUAGUAAUAUUAUAUUUUAUUCUUGAAUUGAGAAUUCAAAAAUUGGAAAAUAAAAAUUAUGGAAAAUCCUCCACCCAUACAAGAGAAAUAGAACAAAGGAGAACAAAUUUAGCUAAUCAUAUGCUGCCUAGUUACAAUUCCUUGAGAUAUGAUCAACCAAAAAAUCUCACCUUAGUAUGAGUAAUAAUUGAAUGUUAUAGAUAAUCCAAAACAACUCCGUACGAGCAAUUUGGUGUCUAAAAUUAACUAAAUGAAUUUAUGAAUUAGUUAAACUUGCCACCAUUUUAAAAAUAAAAAAUCUUCAAAUAUAAAAUAGUUUGAAAAGAUCUUAAAAAAUUACUUUAAUUGUACUUCAAGAUAUUGCUUUAAACAAAAAGAGGUUAAAACUGAUGUCAAGUAAGGCGGUUUAAACUUCUAAAUGAAGAGUAUUAUGCCCGCGCGUUCAGAGGUGGUGGAUCGUGACUUGGCCGUACAGUUAAGAGAGAAUAAUUAAGUGCAACUCAACUAUUAAUGUAGUUUUUUGUGUUUGGAAUCACCACCGUCAUCAAAUACCUUGAUGCUGAUGUACGCAACUUGAUAGCAACGAUGACAAAGGAAAGUCCCCAUUUUCGUAAAUCUCUCAAUCAUAACUUCAAAAAACUGAUUAUACAUAUUAAGUAUAAAAUUAAUUACUAAAUCUGAUUUUAAAAAGUUUCUCAUUUCUUAUUUUUUAAAAUCUAUUGCAGUACUUUCUAAAAUUAUUUACUAAACACUAAAAUUAUUAUUUUUAAAAAUGAUUUCAAACGAGCUCUUGAUAUAAUACAACUAUAAAAUUAAAUUAAAUUUCAUGUAAAUUGUUAAUAUAGGUUGUAUUUAGGUUACGUGUGUGUAUUUAUAACUGUAAAUGACGUAUAAUGAUUUCUUUUUACAUUCUCAUUUAAUAACCAUUGAUCAGGGUUCAGUUACGGUGCAACUGUAGUACGGUAUCACAGUUACAUCCAAUCAUUGGAUGCACUUGAAUGGGUGGGAUCCACUGGCAUCCAACGGCUGGAUACAACUGUGGCACGGUACCACAGUUGUACCACAAGUUUUCUCCAUUGAUCAUAACUAAGAAUGUAUCUAGAAUUUAGUUCAUUGGCGAUAAAACUAUAGUAAAAAUUAAUAAUUUAUAUAAUCGACCCAAUAUCAAAUUUUUUUAUUAUAAAAUUCAUCUUCAAUUAAACAAAAUUUUUAAAAAAUGAAAAUGAAAAUGAAAGAAUUUUUUAUUAAACAGGAUUAAUUAUGCGCGCUAGCUUGUAUGUGAAUCCAUCCCUGACCGUAGCCUUGUAUUUUACGGAUGUACCCCGACUUUCCCGUAGUCGAUUUUCCAAUCCUAUGUAAUAAAUAUGUACAUUUUCCUCUGUUCUUUUUGGACUUGAGGAACAAGUUUUAGCUAUCUUUCGUUUGACAUGACAGCAAUUAAUUAAUUAAUUAGUUAAUUAAUCAAUCAAAUUUAUGCUCCAAAUAUUCAACGACCAAGUGGACUCAACUUGUUUACAUUCAAUGUCCAUAUUCAUGGAAUCACAGUUUCCAGGAAAAAUGAAAAAGACAAAAACGGAAAGAGCCAUAUUCAUCUUCUGGAUUGCGCAAUAAUAUGUUUCAUUAUUACAUUGGAAUUUCAUUUUCACCAAUUAGCCAAAAAAAAAUCGCCAAAUCAACGGACGCGAAAUCGCCUACUUUCCACACAAUCAACGGCCAAGAUUGGCGUAAAUUCCGAAGACGAAACUUCAGAGAGUACUCGGUUUCACUGUUUCAGAGCCAUCUCUCCCUGCCUCUUUCCGGACAACAAACGCACGUGAUCACCGACCCCAGGUGCAGUACACGCGCUUAAUCUGACACGCCAGCCGGCAAGGAGCAGCUCGCCAGCUCGUGCCUUGUGGGAUUCUAAAAUUUGUUGCUGUCGUUUGAUCUUAUUUUGUCUGCGUUUUAAAAAAGGGUGACCCGCACGAGAAGUAGGCGGUGGUCCAUAGUCGAACCUAUUUCAGCGGCCCGCCCGCGACGCUAUGCUAAUAUUGGAAAUUGCUGCCUUUGAGGCAGCGAUGCCCAUGUUUUCUUUAAGUAGUCAGAGACAGAAAGUGAGCAAUAAGGCUGCCCCUUCUUGUGUACUUAUUUUCAAUAAUAUUAUCAUAUCAUACUAAUCUAAUUUCAAUAUUAUUAGGCUUGUUUCUAAAUUUUAAUAAUAUUUUUGAGACAUCAUUUCUUCUUAUAUAUAAAUUUUUUUUCCUGAAUUAAAUUGUACACUAUGGACAUGUAUUGCAGCAUGUAUUAAGAGGGUGUAUAUUGUACUUAUUUUCUAAAGGAAUGUUUGGUAAAUUUAUUUAAUUGAUUUGUAUUGUAUGAAAAAGUGAAAUUAAUACAGAUUUGGGUGGGUAACCCCAGGGUCUUUAUUAGCCUGGUCAAUAAAAUUAAAAAUACAACAAACAUAAAAGAACCCAAAACUUAGAUCAUUUUCUAUCUUACUUCUCAAAACAAAUUCAGGAUAAAUUUUCAUCAAAUCCUUUUGUUAAGUAAUUCCAUCGCUUAACUUUAGGGAAAUUUUUUAUCCAGAAUUUAAAAAAAAAAAUCCACAUCAAUUUAAGAGAAAAUUUGGUCUUGCUUCUGCAUUCUUAUGAAAGAUUUUCAUAAGUUUUAUGGGUUCUCUUUCAUUCGCUAUGUACGGUUAGUUCAUAUUUUUGCUUGGACACAAAAUAAUUAUCAUGCAUUAGUCGCUCUAAAAAAAAUAUGGUGGUUGCUAUUUGUUUGUUGAAUUCCUUUUUUAUGGUCAUGACUUGAGCAAUUGAAAAAAAAAAAAAAAAGGCCAUGCGACUUAUAUCUUGGCUUAUAUUGAGUGAUGAUUAUGAUAAGUACAAAUAUAAUAUUUGUUAUAUCAUGAGCGAAUAAUUACGAUAAAGAUUCUAAUGUUAAUACUUCAGUAUUCAAGAUUAAGUAUGAUUAAAGUAAAUAUAAGACCAUUGAUAAUAAUACAAUACAGCGCGGUACCAUUUACUUGUAUUUUAUAUAACAAGCCAUUUUAAUACAUGCCAUCUUAAUACAUUCAAUUCAAUACAAUAUAAUACAAUCCCAUCAGAAGCACCCUAUGCGUGCCCUUAUAUGCACUUAUGCUAUCUAAGGAAAGAAAAUAUACAACGAAGUAAAUAAUACACAUGACAGGUAUGAGCACAAGAAUUGAGCUAGCAUAGAAUUUUUUUUUUUUUGGACAUAGAGUCAAAUUAAGGGUAUGCUUGGAAUAGGCGCCAUUCAAAAAGAGUUUUCACUAAAAGAUUUAUAAGUAAAGCUUUUAUUUUAACCAAAAAAAAAUUAUUUAUUAAUUGUUAUUUACAAGUUUUAGAAAAGAAAAAAAAUGUAUUUUAUGGUUGUGCCCUAUAAACCCUACUGAGACGUAGUUCAAUUGACUAUAAAGCUUUGUGAGGUGUAAGGGUUUAUACUGGAUAAGAUUUCUUAUCCUUCUUCAAACUUUCUGUUUUUUUUUUAAUAAUAAUAAAAAAAGUUAUAUCAUGUGAAGAACGAAGUAAAAUUAUAAAAAAAAAAAAGUAGCGCACAUUAAGUAAUUUAAUUAUUCAAUAAAAAUUCAACAACCUCGAAGUCUAAUUUUUUUUUUUUUUAUAACUUCUCUUAGUGUAUAUAUAUUCGUCAUGAUUAACAAAUUUGAUUUAAUAAUAAAACUUACAGAUGACGUGUUCUGCUGUGAAGAAGAAUGUGAAUAUUUUGUUGACAUUGAAAGGUAAAAUCAAUAUUAAAAAAAAAAAGAAAAAAAAAACUCACGAGAAUCAAGAGUCCUAGGGUCAAUGUCACUGGUUACAACAAACGCGGACAAAUUCUGCUUUAUCAAAUACCGUAAUUCCUUUCAAAUUUCGUGAACUAUUACAAUGAAAAUGAUUUAAAUUGUGUAAAGUAUAAUUUGUAACAUAGCACAAAAUAAAAAUAAAAUAACAAGAAAUUCAUGCCCAUUAGUCUAUUACGUUCACAUUCAUUAAACUUUUUGUGGGGCAAAUUAAUUCCUACAUUGAUGAAUACUGGAUGGAAAAUUCUGAUGGUAUAUACUGUAAUAAUAUUUCAGUGUAAAUGAUUUAUAAAGGCAUGACUAAUGGAAAAAAAAUAGGGUAAAUAAUUGUUUUUGUAAAAAUAAUAAAGUUAAAAUAAUAAUAGAUCUUUUUUUUUUUUUUGUCCUCAAAGAUUAAAUAUCAAUAAAGUUCACGCAUUCUCCGUGAAAAAUAUGCAGAAUUAAAAAGAAGAAUUGCCAUUAUUAUCAUCUAAAAUGGGAACUAAUAAAUUGAUGUCUGCUGAACUCUCAAUUCUUUUGCACAAAAAAAACCCACUUUAUCAGCAGUUGGAUAGCUCUGUACGUGUGCAUGUUUUUAGCAUUCGUUCAAAUGGAAAAUGGCAGCCUGUGCCUGUUUCAUUCGUUUAAUUUUCUUUAUGCUUUUCGCCCUAAAAGCAAAAGAGGAAACCAGCUUCUUUCUUUGAUCUUGAAUAUAUAUUCUCAAGUUUAUUAUUAUUAUUAUUAUUAUUAUUUCAUUCGUUCGCACAAUAAUAACGCUUAUCGACAGUUGAAUGAUUUCGAAAGGGAAAUUUGAAAAGAUUAAGAACUCUAAUGUGCAUGUAUUUUGGGACUGUAUGAUUGUUGACUUUCCCAUUAAUGCGGCAGUUCAAUGCAUCCCCAUUCAUUUGGGUCUUUACAUAACCCCUUUUUCUCUACAGAGAAAAGAAUUAUUCAGAAAGUGAGCCGAAUUAAUGAGAUAAUAACCAGCCAAGUGAUGUAACUUAUGAAUUAUAAGUCAAAAUAAAUUAAAUUAAAUCAAUGGAGUAAUCAGAAUUUCCCCGACAGCUGGCUGCAUCUUAAUUAAUUUCCCGGCAUGCAUGUAUGGAUAGAUAUUAUGAAUUUUCAUUUUUCCUCUCGUUGACUGAUCACGAGAACGCAUAAGAAUGAAUUCUAGUGAUCAAGAUAAAUUUCAUUGGCAUACGCAAUAAGUGAGACAUCACGUACGAGAGAGGAUGAUGCUUUCCAAAAGCAUACGUUUUUGCACAAGUCAAAGCAAAAACAAUUAAUACAUACACUGCACCAUGAACAUAAUAUUUGCAUUGCCGUGGAGAUCGAUAUGAUAUUUUUGCUGUCACUUGUCAAAGUCGGAGCAUCUAGGGUUCAAAGCCAAUGAAAGCCUAUAUAAUGAAGCUGCGUUAUUAUGACCAUGUUCUUUUCCACUGUGUAAAAUAAAACCAAAAGACAAAAAGCAUUGUAUUUGCCCUUUUCUUGGAAAUUACUCACUGGACAAUUUAAAGCUUUAUUGUUGAUUUGGUACACACACCAUUGCACAAGCCAAAUUAUUGCUUGCCUACUGUGACUAAGCACAGCACAUGGUUUCCGUUUGUACAAGUAAUUAAUUCUCCUUUUCAAAAGCUGAAACCUUACCGUUUUGCAUGUAAUUGUGUCUCUUUCUCAAUACUGGCACUGUAAUCCCACCCAUUGUUUUUGACUAAGGCCAUGGCCUGCCGGGUCUCUCAACUCUUGACAAUUAAAAAUAUCUCUUUUAAAGCCAUCACUCUUGUGGGAGACAAUUUGAAUUCGAAAAUGUUCUUGCUUAGUAUUUGCACUUACAAUUAAUUCACUAUUUUUAUAUAGUGAUAGACACUUUCUCGUCUCAUUAUUAAAAUUAAGAAUCUAAAUCUCCUUCUUAAUAUGCGAUGUGGGAGUAAUUUUCAUCAUUUUAAAUAGUUUAGAUAGAUUCUGACAACUAUUGGUCUAGGCUUAAGGUUCUACCACAUUAUUUUAAUUUUUAUAAUUUAAAAUAGAUUUAUUUUAAAUUUAUUUUUACUUAACUUAACCUGAUAAAAAAAAAAAUGAGUCCUCAAGCCUAAAGAGUUGAAGGACUGCAUCCAAUAAUAUGUCCUAAAUCUAAAUAAGAUAAAACAAAAUAAGUUCUAAUCCUCACCAAACUCUAAUCCCACAAGAUAUGAAAUAAGUUUUCCUAAAUUAAUUAUACUAAUGAUUAUUUCAGUAUUUCUCUUAUACAAAGAGGUUACCACUCGAAUGUAGAAAUAUACAUAUACAUACAUACAUAUAUAAGAUAUAUUAGAAGAGAAGUAUAAUAUCCUUCAAGUCUUUUAUCUUCUUUUGUUAUCGUGAUGCACUCCCAAUCUUUAACUCAAAAUUCACCAAUUCAAAAAAAAAAAAAACAUAAAAACACUUGAACUUGAAUUUAAUUAGUUUCCAUGACUUACAAAAAAUUAUAUAAAAUUAACGGUAUUAACGUUGCCCGAGGAUGAGGUGUUAUUAUAACUUUCUUGGUAAAUGAAAGAAUAAAUAUAAAACUCCACUGUUGUAUUACUAUCAAUUAUGCUAACUAUAUAAGUAAUAUGUAAUUGUUUUUUUCCCCUAUUCAUUCAAAUAUCACAUGAAACACGUGUUUAUUGGAUUACCGAUUACGUGCCAUUUCAGACAAGCUUAAGUCCGAACCACCUUCUUGAUAGAGCUUAUUACAAGUAAAAUUGAAUUGGCGCCUUCGAGAAAGAUCAUAAUUAAAAUUUGAUGAGCCUCCCGACUCUGUAAUUCUAUUGUUAAAGAAGCUUCAAGAACUAACUAAACGGCUUAUCGGCAUUCAUGUUCUCAAGUCGUCGUCGUCAUCAUCUGUAUUUUCAAAACUUUCAUGGUUAUUUCUUUGAAAUUAAUGCUAAUAUUUUUUUUGUCAAAAACAUAGUGGCGGCAGUAAACCUUUGGUCGGAUUAAACUCCAUAUGUCUCAAGAUUGGUGUGUUUUGAGGUCAAGGAUUGGGACCGUUGUGUCUUCAACUUUCAAAUUAUCCCAUGUUCUCAAAUUUUGUGUUGUCUCCUGAAUCAUAAUGGGUUUAAUAACCUUUGGACCCCUUAGCUUGUUACAAUUUAUCAUAUAAGGUAUAAAUGGGCUGUUUGUAUUAAAUAGGUCCGUAUUUUACGUUCAAAUGACCAUAGUGUCCUUACGAUGUUGAAUUGCGGUUGGUAAACUUAAAGCUAGAGGGAGUUUCAGUCAUUUUAAAUUUUAAAUAAAUAUUAAGGACCUAUUCAAAGUAAAUGGAUAAAACAAUGUUUCAUUUUAAGAAACCAUAAAACAGUUUGGAUUCGAAUGUUAAUUUACUCCGAAUACAAAUUGAAUUCUUUCAAAUAUCUUGCGCUAAACCAAUCAGCCUUUGGUCGAAUAGGAAAGUACUUGUUUCAGCCUCCAUAAAAAUAUUAUGGGGAUUAAUUUUAGUCCUUCAUCAAUUAUUUUAUUUUAAAAAUUUUGAAAAUACUUAAUAUAAUCUGACUGUAAAUACUAGUUGUUCCAUCGAAGGGCAUGGCUCUUGCCUGUCGAGUCUCCUAUUAUUUUUGACUUUUUCAAAAAAAAAAAAUUGGAGUAAGCACAUACACUUUCUCAUAAAUAAUAGUUGUGUUUUUUUUAAUGUCCCAUUAAGGAUUCUAACGAUUAUUCUUACAUUUGAAUCCCAAUGAUAGUAAAAAUCUAUUUACAACUGUUAUAUUUUGUAAGUUAUUGAUAUUUACUAAUUUUCAUGAAUUAUAAUUUUGUGUUCUCACAAUGAUAAAUGUUAAUGCAUGAUUAAUAUUAUAGCUACAAAUAAAUUAUUAUAUUAGUUUAGAUUGGGAUUGUAGCCAAACUCUUUUUUCAAACCCAUAUCUCAAUACAAACCACUUGGGCUUAGCCCAAGUGGCUAGAGCCACUCCCUCACAAAUGUGAGGGAAGUGGUUCGAGCAUUUGCAGACGCAUUACAGGGGUUUAAUUUAAAUGUCCUUCCUUGGAGUCUCAGAGCUUGAGUGAAAGCAGUCUUUUUUUCAGGCUGGGAGUUGACGUCCCUCGAAUAUUUGAGAGGGUUAAAAAUUUGAGCGGUGUCAUAUCAGCAUUAAUGUCAACAGGUCUCAGUAUAUAUAUAUAUGAUUGUACAUAUCAGUUAUAUUUUCAUGUAAUAUGAGUUGUAAUUUGAGCAAUAGUUUAAUGUCAUAAAAAAAAAACCCCCAUAUCUCAAUACUUUUAAAAUGCCGUCAGUUUUACGGCUUUAUUAGUUUACUUUUAAAAAAAAAAAAAUCCAACAGAAAAAAUUUCCUGAAGUGAUAUGAUAAUCAAUUUUUUUUUUAAUUUAAUGAUCUAAAUGGUAAACUUUAUUUAUUUAUUUUUUCAAAAAAAGGGAUGUGGAAUCACUGAAAAUGAGUCUGUUUCAUCCGUUAACUAAAUCUUUUCAAGUCGUACUAGAUUUUUUUUUUUUUUUGGUAUCAUUUUCAUGCAUGAACUAAAUACUUAUGAGUAAUUAAGCUGAUUAUGAAAUUGUGGGGUAAGAGAAGGGAAUCUAUCUCAUUGCCUUUUUAAUUUAUAGUUCAGUUAUAUGUGUUAUAAUUCAUAAAGCAAAGUGCAAAGGGGAGAUGAAUCAUCAUUCGUAAAACGAAAUUAAGAACAAAUCUAAUUAAUUUGCUUUUUCAACGGCAGCCAAAGUUUUUGUUUACUCAGGUAGUGGAUGAGAAUGAAAGUUAGGUUUUGUCAUAGAGACUUUAUUAUCAAGAUAUUUAUUUAUAUUUGUCAAAUUGUUGUUCUAUCAUCGAUGAUAAAGUGGGCUGAUUAAAGGCAAGGUUCAUGCAUAUAUGUAGCAAACCUUAGCUUACUUAUAAAGUAAAUUUGUUUUAUCUAUCUUUUUUUUUUUUUUUCUCUGUUGAUAUUAGCUCGAUUCAGGGCCCUGUACGUUGUAUGGCAAAUAUUUUAAGUCAACAUAUUUGUUUCGAGCAUUUUCCAUCAUACUCCUGUGGGCUCAAAACUCUUUGAGGACAGACAACAUGAUUCUUGUUGUUGAUUAAUUUCCUUGUUUCUUAAACCCGAUAAUUAAUUAUUAAUUAUUGCUAGUUAACAGUGGCCUUAUAACUUAAACCAUAUGAGCUCCGUCGCUCACUGUCAUCAUAAAUGAAAAUCAUCGAGUGCCGACGUUGGCAUGUUUUAAAAAAAUAAUUUUUUUUCUUAAAAUCUUUAGGAUUAGGUAUUAAUUUUUAGUUGCUCAUCAUAUUUUUCUGAAAUGACUUGAAAUUUUUUUUUUUUGGUUAGUAUAAUCUGAUAUUAUUUUUUGAGGACAAACAAAAAAAAAUCAUGAAUAAUAUUUACCAGUACUCCUCAUAAAAAUUAAAAAAAAAAUUUAAUACGAGUAACAACAGGUUACAAUGAUCAUUUGAAAAUUGACAUCUAAGCUUAAAGACUGAGAGAAAUUUAUAGUGUUGUAAAAUAUAAAUUGAGGACUAAAUAUUACUACCAAAACUUAAUCUAACAUUGUGUUAUUUUAAACCAUACGAAUGUGGACAAGAAACUCCUCCUGAAUAAAUAUCUAUUUCGUAAGGUAACAAAGGAAGUAUGAAAAUCAAGGUAUGUUUGGAAGUGAGGUGUUGUAAUUUUUAAGCUGCAGCUGCUGUGAAGUAAAAAUUAUACCUGUAGAGUAGAAGUUAAAAAAAAAAAAUCUAUUAAGCUACCAAAACCCAACUAUAAAUGUUAUCAAAUACCUUAGUAACUGGAUUUUGACAACUUAACUACCUCACCACACUCCGAAACGGGCCCUCAAUUUGUACAUCAUAUAUCCAACUCAACUCAAUGAACAAGUAUGGGGAAGAGGGUGACUGAAGAAAGUCAAGAUCUCAAAUCAUGUGCGGCACAGGAGAUGGUCCAUUUCUAGCAAAAGCUGUGCGUCGCACAUGCUCAAACACCAAUUUUGCCAUACGUGAGCAUACAUCCCAUGUGUUUGAAGCCAAAAAAGGUGUCCAAAAUUAUGACUUUAUUAUGAAAGAGGAAAAAAAAAAAAAGAACUUGGCAAGAAAUCAAAAAUUAAUUUUACUUGUGGUGGAAUGGAAUGUAAAAAGAAUCGAUUAGUUGUGAUUGGGGGUGUAGGGACGGGAGUGUUUGGUUGAUGGAAAUUUUGAAAUCGAUGAAAUAAUUAUACGAACUUUGAAUUCAUUCAUUAUUAAUUGGUUUGAGUCUAGCUACCUAGGACUUCAGCUUAUUAAUUACCAACAUUUAUAACUAGCUAACAACAAUUCAUUGAUUAAUUAGCAUGACUUGUGGCGACACAAACGAUUUUUAUGUGUACACAAAUCAAUAAUGACCACAGAAAAUAUUAUGGAAAUCUAUCAAAUUCCUCUAAUCAUGAUUUUUAGAGAAAAUGAGCGAAGCCACUCUAUUUUUGUUUUCUUUAUUGGUGACAUUAAGCUUUCACAUUUUAAAAUCCACAAGAAACAUUAAGCUUUCACAUUUUAAAAUCCACAAGAACUCUCUAAGAAUAAUAAUAUUCUAUUAACUAUUAAUUAUUUGGUUUUUUUUUACUUCAAAAUUAUUGUUAAUGAUGCAUUUACGUUAUAAAUGAAAGAUUCUAAAGAGCAAUAGAAAAAAGAUUUUAAAAAUUUAUUUUUAUUUAUUCACGAGUACAAAUGCUUCUAUUUAUAUAAAGAUUGCAAGUAUUAAAAGAAGAUGCUCAAAUUAUAAUCAUUGGGAUUUUUUUUUAUUGAUCAUCAAUCUUAACUUCUCAGUGAUUUAUUAUUGUCUUCGUCUUCAUCUUCAUCUUUGCCUUAACUUUUCUCAAUAAGAAAUGGACAUACCGUUUAGCAUUAUAACAUUAGGUAAGUUAUAGUGAGUGUUAAAACAUAAAAGAGAAUUGUUAAUUUCGUCUCCUCUCCCCCCCCCCACCAAAAAAAAGAUAAGUUUUUAUUAUUUUACCAUAAAACAACCAUUAAUCAAUAUAAUGAAACAGAGAGAAAUCUCGUGGUUUUUUCCGAUGUAUAAAUUAUAUGCACGUUAGAGUUUGAUUAAAUAUUUUAAGUUGAAAAUAAUAGAUAUAGGGUUUAAAGUCCAUUCUAUGGGUGGGGAAGCAGUUGGGGUACCGUCUAAAUUACUUUAAAAAAACUUAUCUAUAUAUAUAUAUAUAAUAACAAGUCUAGAAAAAUAGAAAAAAUAGAGCAUCCUUUGUCGGCAGUCGGCAGGAAAUUUUUUCAAAGAUUUUCUCAUUUCUCACUUAUGCCUGUGAGUUAAACGUUAUUCAAUUCAUUAGAGAAAAUAUACAGACGAAAUCCAAUGAGGUUUCAAUGUGUACAUGUUGAUUUUGAAGUCAGCAGACUCAGCACAUUCCUCGAUAAUCACAAUUCGACGACCGCAUGAAGUUUAUGAAUUAUAAUAUCGAUACUAAGUUAAUCUUUUUUCACUUCAAACAAAACUCGGAGAUUAUGCUAAUUUCACACCCCAAAAAGAAAAAAAAGAAAGUCUAAUGAAUAUUUUAAAGGCCUUUUUAUAAUGUUAUAUGAAGAGAGACAGAACCCAAAAAGUAAAUGCCGAUUUAAUCAAAGCGACUAAUGACAUUAUAUAACCUUGUAUACAUUCGGUCCCAGAGUGACCUAAGGUGGGGUAAUUGUGGUUGGAUUUUUAUGGUUUUGUGGGGGCAUUAUUUUUACAUAUUAGUUACAAUUUAAUGAUUUUAUUUCUGUUGUCGUUGCUAAAAUGUUAUAAGCAGGCAGUUUGGUCGGGCCACAUUUGACCCAAUAAAAUUUUAAGUGGGGUGGGGUAAAUAACAAUCAAACUCCUUAUUGUCUGCUUAGAAUUUAAAUAAAUCAGUAAUUUUCACAAUCGAUCGAACAAAUUAAAUUAUCUCAAAUCUUCGGUUUUAUUAUUUAGGCUUCUUAAUCAUUAUUGAUGGUUAAAAUUGACUUAUCAUCAUAUUAAUUUGACUGUCUCAUUACCGUAACUCAGAUUAGUUUGAUCCCACAUUCACUUGAGUUUUAAUAAUAAUAAAAGAUUAAUGAAUGAGAUUUCUCAUCUCCAUCCAAACCUUUUACUAAAAAAAAGAAAGAAUAAACCUUAUUAACCAAAUUCACCCAACCCCCCCCCCCCCCCCCAACAAAAAAAAAAUAGAAAAGAAAUUUUUUUGUUCUUUUGUAAUUUAGUUUAUCACAUAUUUUAAAAGUGUUAAGAGAAAAUUUACGGGGGAUUUAAAGUCGUUUAGUUAGGCCCAACGAAAUAAGGGGGCCAAAGUAUCCAGCCCGUGUCUAUCUUUCGAGGGUUAAUUUAACAUGGGUUCUGGAACUGGAACACAUCCAAGUCUGUUACGAGACUAAUCACUGGCUAAUUAGUAUAUUGCGUAAUAUAGUAUUGAGAGAAGUUUUAAAUCUGAUCACGCUUUCGUUUUAUUUUAGUAAUAAUUAACUCCUCACUAUCAUGGUUUUUGAAGAUACAGCAUUUAAACUUAAGCAAAAAGCAGAGGUUGCGCAUAACCUAUUAGCUACGGCAAACACUACCUUACAAUCAAUGUAUGGUACAUCCCUCACUCAUGAACAGUGAAUGAGUAGGACCCACUCACUAUUCAUGUGAGGGAUGUACCAUACAUUGAUUGUAAGGUAGUGGGAUCCAUUAGCUACAUGCCUAUUGUCAGGUUUUAUUGGCUUGUUUGAAGUUUAAACUUUAAAGUGCUACUUGAAAUUAAGGUAUUGUCGUUUAAAAGUCAUAAUUGUUGUUAAAAAAAGAAAUUAUAAGUAUGAAAUAAAAGUUUACGGUGUGUGGUAAAUAUAAAUUUUAAAUAAUAAUUUUGACAAAAAUGAUAAAGAGAUGAUAAGUUUUUAUUAUACAAGUGUUGAAAAAAAAUCAACUUAAUUCUAAAUUACAUAAGUAAUUUUUAUUUUAUAACUACAACUUUUUUAUGCAGCUAUCAAUACCAAAUAUGGUCUCAUUCUUGGCUGCUCUAGAGUCGAGGGAGUGCUUUAUAUAGUACAUUAUUUACUAUUUCCACAUUCUUAUAAGGUGAUUUUUGGAAGAAGCCAAGAAAACAAAAUUAAAAGUUAAAAAUCAAAGAAAAAGAAAAGACAUGUACUGUUCGUUUUCGUUGUUUUUAUGUUACUUAUAAAUGUGGAAAAAUCUUGAAUACUUUCAGUAUAUACUGUUUCAUUAGUUGAAUUAUUACUUGAUUAGUUGAGAGGUGUAUGUGGUAAUAAUCAAAUGAGAGAGUACUGUGUAUAUGAUGGAAUCCAACAAGAUAGAGUGUAAAAAUCAGGAAUAUUUUCUCACUUAUAUGCAAAUAUAUUUUAUGACUGGGGCUUCCACGCAUGAGCAUUGUACCCCAAAAAAUGAUGGCUAGAGAUCUCACUGUGUUAGGCAUUUGACAUCGGUUAAAUAGGAAAACGGGAUCGGAUUGAUUAAUAUAAAUAAAGAAAAUACUUUGGAGAUAAUCAAUCCUCUCUAGCUGGCUUCAAAAUCAUAUCAAAAUAUAGCACUUGAUGAUAAAUAAAAAAAAAUCAUAUAUAUGCCCUACCGUAGGUGUAUUACUGUAGUCUUAUACAAUGUAGGAAUUAGCACCAUGGAAUAAGGACGAAAUAAAGCUGAAUGCUUUGACUGUUCAUGAUUUGCUAAAGAAGGUUAAAACAUCUCCAAGGAGUCGAGGAUUUACCCGACCUCUUUCAAAGGCUAGUCCAGAAAUUUCUUCUUUGUUAAAACUAUUAGUUGUAAUAAUCAAGUGUUAAUUAAUGAUCAAAUGAUCAGUAGGUUCUUGAAAUCAAUAGGUCAUCGGAUUAAUGGAGUAUGUAAUUGUAAUGCCUCUAUAACCCAGUGUAACUCAAAGCACAUGAGUCUACUGUAACCUAUACAUAGGGCCUCUAUUUCUCUGUACUCUAGCUAGCACCAUGAUAUUUAAAAAAGCAAUAGUUGGUUGAACUUAUUACUCGGUCACAUUGUUGAAUCUGCAAUAUGCCAUAUUCUUAUUAAUGCACUUCCAUCAAUGGAAACCCGAGUUUCACCGAUAUUUGAAGCAGCUUUUCAAUUGACCAAUACAGAAGAAUAGACAUUAUCAUAUGAUUCAUUAAGAAGACCCAAAAAAGAGAGGGUUUAAUAAUGCAAUGCCAAAGCUUCUCUCUAUAAACACCCCAUACAAAAUAUAUACUUCAAAUUUGGCUCAAUGAAACAGGAAUCCUUUGAUUGAAUUCCUUCUAUGUACACUAUAACCAUAUAUGUAUAAUGAUGAAACAGUAGCUUACCUAUUACGACCAAGACGAAGCUCCAAAUCGAGUCCAGCUUCUUCCACAGUUCCCCUCCUCAUCACUUCAUUAUCUUCAUCAACGCAUGAAGGGCCAAUUCCCAGGCUCAAAUUGGCACCCAAAAGCUGAUCUUCAUUCAUCAUGCUCAAAGACUCUGACCUCGGAACAUUGUAAGCAGGAGGGUUUCUAGGGUUAGAUGCUGAUGGUUGGUAGUACCUGAGAUAGUUCCUUUGAGACUCAAAAACCGGAGAGUGCCUUGAUGUGUCACUUGAAAUCGGUGCAAUAUAUCUAGGGUUCAUGUAAUCUUCAUGAAUCAGCAUCGGAUUGCUUGUAAUAAAAGAAGGACCAGUAGUUUGCUUGGCCUUGGCUCUAUCUUUGCGGUGUAUGUUCAUGUGCCCACCUAAAGCCUGAGCGUUGGUGAAGCCUCUCUUACAGAAAGUGCACUCAUAUGAUCUUUUUGCACUUGAUGUGUCUAAUUCCUUGACUUCGUUUUCAUCACUUGAUGAGUGAUCGGAACCCACUUGUUUCUGUGAUGAGUCCAUGCCCAAAACCCUAGAUAAUUUGCGCUACAAUUUUUGCAGAAUUAAAAAUUUAUGAAAUGUGAAAAUGGGUGGCGAGAGAGAGAGGAAAUAGGGAAGCUUUAAGGGCAAGUUGAUGACAUUGGCUUUGUUCAUUGACACUUCCUUGGCAUUUUCCUUUUGGAAUUUUGCAUUGAGUCGGCUGUGGUUGGAUCCAUCUUUGGUAAAUUUUAAACUCCUUUUAAUCUGUCUCUCUCUGUUCUCUAUAUCAUAUAUCUCUUUAUAACUUUGAUUUGCUUACUUAUUAUGCUCAUGUAGCUUUCAUGCAUACUGCAUCUAGCCAACUUUCUUAAUACGACACUUUUUUGGCAAGUCUCUCAAGUCUCUCCAUGACUCAAUUAGAACGCACAUCCUAUAUAUUUUGUAAAAUUUGGCCACUAAUAUUAUUUUAUAAGACAAUGUUAUAUAUUAAAAAAGGAGCAGAAAUUAGGAAAAGUAAUUCUCUUUCAAAUUCUAGAGAAAUAAUGAAACUGUCAUUGCAAUAUGAUAUUAUGCACAUGUGAACACUAUCUCAUAUAUAAUAGAGGGAAUAGCGAUGUUAAGAACUAUGGACUACAAGAAAACAAAGAAAAUUAUACAGAAACAGAGUUAUUUUUCACAAUUUACUCCAUAUGGUUAGUUGCUAGUAAGGAAGGGUUACUGAAUAUAACUUUUUCAAUGAAACUAACCAUCAGAAUUAAAAGAUCAGCACUAGUUGAAAAUUAUACAACCCAGUAUACUUCUUGGUAUCAUCAACUCGUUGAUUCUCAAAAAUUUUAAGAGGCAUUAUUUUUGUGUGAACGUACAUUGGAUGCUAUAUCUAGGGUAACUUAUUAAGCAUUAUUUCAUGUCAACAUCUACCUCCAUCAAAUACUAAGUCCUAUUUUUCAAAUUAUCCAUAUGUUCCGAUCUCAUAAUUUCAUUUAAUGCAAAAGCCUAAAUUAUUGACUCACUAAAUGUCUAAUUACAGAGAUGAGAAGGGCAGGGAUGAGCAGUUCAAAAAGAGUAAACGGAUGUAAAUCACUAGAUAAUUUCUUUAAUGCAAAAGUCCCGAACACAUAUAUGUCCUGUAGUGAUCAACAAUCUUAUUGCUACAUGCUUAUUAGCUGGUUGUUCUUUGAAUUUAAGACGGCAGAAGAUUAAUUAAGCAUUGACCAUUUCCUCAAUCAAAUCGGCUGCCGUUACACAUAACUCAAGAUUUGUUAUUGUAGUCGAUCGUAGUAACAAAAUAAUAAUUUAAGCUUAAUAAGAUACAAUGUCUGACAAAUGGAAGGAGAAGGGCGUCAAUGACAACAACGUAACUGCUGUAUUAGCUAGGUGUACUACGGUAACUCCCAGACAUUUUGUACCUUCUUUGCGGCAAAAAUUCAUACAUCAAGACUCUUUUUGAUUAAUUGAACCCUAUAUAUCUAAAUCUUGGAUCAUUUUUCUAUUGGUCAAUUUAAAAUUGAAACUUGGAAUGUUUCUAAUCGAUUUCAAUACUUUGCUACCACAAAGCAAGCCGGAUUAAACUAUUUGUGUUCAUUGAUUAAUCCUAGAAAGCACGGUCCAAGGUCAGCUGGAUUGAAAUUAGUAACUAAAUAAAAUUUGAUCUUGAAUUUAACUCCCAAUUUUUUUUCCCAUUUGUUAGAACUUAAAAUGGAUUUUCCUAUAGAAGGUUGUUGUUUCAACGACAUAUAAAAGGAUGUAGAUGUUGAUGUUGUUGGCUAAUGCUACAUAGCCUACAUUAAAACUUAAAAGAAAAUUAAAAACAUAUUUUAGGUAAAUGAUGGAUAAAGCUUUUGCUUUCAAAGGCAUCAAUCAUGAACAGCCUCAUCAGCUUGAUUUUAAAGGUUAAUUAGUGUAAUUAAAAUUCUGUGGUACUGUCGUUUCGCGACUCGGACAAAUUUACAAGUGACUUUGUCAACUGAUUGAUCUUUUCUUUGAAAUUGUAUUGUUUAUUCUUUCGUACAUAUAAUAUAUAACAACAUCUGAUAGGGUACUUAGGAUCCACGAAAACAAUGUUGCGGAUCAGCCGUUUACCAAAGCAAUUAUUUUGAUAAUCAUUUAGUGUAAUUUGGGCCAAUUUUGGAUCUUUAGAUCCAGUUGGCCCAACCCAAUUGGGUUUUUUGAUUGGUUAAUUGCUAGUAAAGAUCAUUAAGAUUACUAAUGGUGAUAACUGAUCUAAAUGCUGAAUGUUGUGCAUACCCUAAUCGGGUUAUGCAAAUAAAGAUCAUUAAGAUUACUAAUUCAACCUUAUAUUUUGAAUUGCUAUACAUAGAAUUUAAUUAAUUUAGAUAAUAAAGAUGGUUUUCGGAGUUGUGUCAUUGAUCGAGAGUACCAAUGGUUAUUCUCUAUCAAACUUUCAUUUGAUAUUAAUUAACAUGAUCAAAAUGCAGAGAAAUUGAUGAGCAAUCAAUUAACUACCUCUAAAAUAAUCACCUAUAUACAUGAUCCUGGCCUUUUAUAAUAAAUAUCUCUGUAAUGUGUGUACAAUAAUAUUGUUUGAGCUCUCCUUUUAUUGGCAAUAUAUCUGCCUAGAAUUGACCUUUUUUUCUUUCUUAAAUAGAAAAUUUUUAUUAAUCUAAGUCUAAAAGAUAAUAACCAAAUUGGCUUGGGAUUUCUUCCAUUCAGACAACAAUAAGCAUACUUUGCUAAUGCAUUAUAUAGAUGAUAACAAUCCUCGAAAUAUGCCCUAAACAAAAUGUCAGUAUAUCUAGCUAGAGUUGACAUUUUAAUGUCUGUAACAUCAAAUUACAAGAACUUGAUUAAGUAUCCAUCUCUUAGAACAAUUUACUAUUUUAUUUUAUUUUGUUUUGUUUGAAUGGUAGGAGAUAAGAAGAGACACUCUAUCAUUCGCAUCGUAAAUGAACAAAAUUUGUUUCGCCCUUUUUGGCCAAACUUGAUUAAACAUUUAAUUAAAGUGAUAUCAUCCUUUGAGGUGUAUUUACGUAUGCUAUGAAUAAUUUUAUUUCUAAAUUGAAUGAGAUCUUCACCUACAAUAGUUGAUGUUAUCAGUAGUUAAAUGUUAAAAUUGGAUCAGACUAAUAAAAAUUUCUCUUGUACGAUUAUUACAGUUUAAUAGCAGAAUAAUUGUUUUCAUAGGAGGAUAGUUUAGUUAAAAAAAUACAUCAUGUAUAUUAAGCAUAAAUGUAAUCUUGUUGUUAUUAAAAUUUUUGUCAUAUGGAGCUUUAUAUUUGUAUUUGUGCCGCCCAAUAGGGCUUCUUUCAUCUAUUCUGAUUAACCAAAUUAAUCUGAUGUUUCUCUUCUGUUUCAAAAAGGACUAAUUAUAAGUGCUUACGACUUUAUUGCGUACUUGAAUUUGAUGUAAGCGGCAAGUCAUUCAUGUAUGAGACUGAAUUCUGAACUCUUUUCAUGUGCCACAUGCUGAAAUUUCCAAGAUACCUUGCCUUAUUAGACAAUUACAACUAUUUCUUCAUCUCUGUCAUUCCUGCAACUUGUAGGUACCAUUCUAUAUGUAAAGACCAUUCUUUUGUCUUUUAAGUUUUCAAUAACUAAAAUUAAAAAGAAAAAAAGUUACUUCUAUGACGAGUCGUUCUCUAGUAUACACGUUUGUUAGCUGCUAGAAAAUGUCAAAAAUUUUUGAACUCCAAUGCAUGAAACUCUUUAUUGUUUUGUAAUCAGUUAUCUAUAAGCAGCUCAAAUAAUCGUUUUGUAAAAAUGUGAAUUACUAAAGAGAUAAUAUCAAUCAACUAUGAAUAGUUCUUGAGUUACUUAAAAGUGAACUUGUAAAUUGAGAACUGCUCCAAAUUCAAGAACUAUUCUCAACUAAUAUAAAAUUAUUUCUUUGAUCCCUUUUAAAUACAGACCAAUCUGUCCACUCACAGAUGAAUUCCAUUUGACCUAAUAUCUCAUAAAAAUUUAUAAAACAUAACUCAUACUCAAAAAUUAAUUUACGAAUUGAGAGAUAUUCCAAAAAUAUGCAUUAAGAAUUAUUCUUAGUUGAUGGAGAAUUUUCCCAAUUCUGUACCGUAGAAUAUUUCAUUUUUUCCCACUAGUAUAUCUAAUUUCAUGAAUAAUAAGCAAUAAUCAAAGCAUCUAUAUUAUAGGGUGGUCAUGUGACAACAAUUAUAAUAAAAGUGCAUACAUGCAUGUUAUGUUGACACUUGAAAGCAAUGUGCAAGGGACUUAGUGAAAUGAAUUAAUUGAAGAAGGGCGUGAGCAAGAUGUUGAUAUGCGCCGACUGGGCAAUUCCUUUUUGCCAUCCCUCUAAUUAUCUCUCUCUCUCUCUCUUUGUAUAUCACUUACACUACAACAAACACUUUGGUAAUUUCCCUUCAUUUUUAUUUGUCUUCACUUCUUUUUUUCUUCUUUCACUCUCCACGUGUAGGGACCUUCCCAUAACGUUUCCAAAUUUUUGGGCAAUAAAAUUAAUUAAUGUGCCUGCAAUAAGCUUUUUUAGGGUUGAGCUGGUCUAGCUUUUCAUGUGAUCAUCACUUUCCCCAGUAUCAUUAAUCAUGUUAUACGAAUCAAACUAAAUUUUUAGUCUUAGUAACUACGACCCAUAUUUUGUAUUUAUUAUUUGGUAUGUCUUAUAGGUUUAUAGCCUUUGAUCUCAUCAUGUGACCAAAGAAAGGAACAUUUUUCUUUGAAGUAUCUCUAGUGGUAAGCACUUAAUUUAUAACACCUAAAAAUGAUAAUUAAUGAGUUAACAAGUUUUGUAUCGAGAAAAAUAUUAAUUUUCGAUAAUAUUCUCGACUUAUCCCUCUGUAACCGUAACUGAAUAAUGACAAUUUUUUAUUUUAAUUCACAAAAAUUAUGGAUUGAUCAUAAGCUAGUAAAUGGAAUAAUUAGAAGUCAAAACUCAAAAACAAGAGAUAGUAACACAUAUAUAAGUACAUGCAAGUCAACGUCACUUGGCCAAAAAUAACAAAGAAAAUAAUAUUCGGAAGUUACUUGACUUGAUUAAUUAAUUUCUGAAACGCAAUGUUAAUUAACUUGUAUUCGCAAGUAUUUGUUUUUUAAAAGGAUGAUUGUGACUAAUAUAAAGCAGCUGGCGUUUUUUUUUUUACACCGUGCAAAAUUUGGAUUCAUGACGUGAGCAAGAUUAGUGACAAAUAAUUAAAUGUGGUAAAGUCGUGAAAAACAGUGUCUAAAAAAAAAAUUAUUAAUCGUAGAGUUAAAAGAAAAUGUGAUCCUAGGGAUGACGUUAGAUUAGUAUUGUGUUGUUUGCCGAAACACGCAAAAAGAUUAUAAAGUUUUCUGGGCCAAAUGAAAAAAAAAAUUAUUAAAUCUCAAAUUUAAAUAUUUAAUUUAACUUAACACUUAUAAUCAAUUUAGUUUGUCUGAGUAAUUUUGGGGACUACUUCACACGUCAUCAAUUUCCAAGUGCUUUUCUGUAUAUUGGGAAGUGACUUUUACAAAAUCUAGAACUGUUUUUUUAUUCCUGAAAUAAUAUAAAAUAGAUAAAAAAAAGUACCAUAUUAUUCACUCUUGAAGUACACCCUCAAAAUCUUUUUAAUGAUGAGAAAAAAAAAAUGACGAUCAAUGUUCAUAUGAUUAUCCGAAAAUUGCUAUCGUGGCCUCGAAUUGAACUGUUGAACUGUUUUUAUAUGAACCGCUUGACCCAGGAAAAAAAAUUAUUAAUCGUAGAGUUAAAAGAAAAUGUGAUCCUAGGGAUGACGUUAGAUUAGUAUUGUGUUGUUUGCCGAAACACGCAAAAAGAUUAUAAAGUUUUCUGGGCCAAAUGAAAAAAAAAAUUAUUAAAUCUCAAAUUUAAAUAUUUAAUUUAACUUAACACUUAUAAUCAAUUUAGUUUGUCUGAGUAAUUUUGGGGACUACUUCACACGUCAUCAAUUUCCAAGUGCUUUUCUGUAUAUUGGGAAGUGACUUUUACAAAAUCUAGAACUGUUUUUUUAUUCCUGAAAUAAUAUAAAAUAGAUAAAAAAAAGUACCAUAUUAUUCACUCUUGAAGUACACCCUCAAAAUCUUUUUAAUGAUGAGAAAAAAAAAAUGACGAUCAAUGUUCAUAUGAUUAUCCGAAAAUUGCUAUCGUGGCCUCGAAUUGAACUGUUGAACUGUUUUUAUAUGAACCGCUUGACCCAGGAAAAAAAAUUAUUAAAACAAGAUCCCACCAUUAUUAAACAUUAUUAUUAAUUAAAUACAAUUCAUAAUGCAACAUUCUCUCCCUCAACUUUGAAGGAAGGGGAUCAAUCUCUCCACAAGUGACAAUUUGUGGGAUAAAUUUCUCCGUAACCUUUUUUUAUUCAGAAGCUGAUGUUUGGCAGCACUACUAAUUGACACUAUACCAAUCGUCUCGCUACGUUUCUAGUUGUAUUAUAAUAUAUAUUAAAAAAAAGCCAUACAUAUAUGUCGAAGGAAAAAUUGGUAAUUGCAUCAACUUUGUACACUAUCAUUGACAUUUACCUAUUUUGUUUAAGAUAUAUUUCAUAUUACAUAAAUCCCAAGCAUGUUGGAAAGAGAUAAAAGUAUUUAUAGAAAAUGAGUAUGUAAAUAUAAUUCAGGGUCUAAUUAUCAUGAAAAAGAAAAAUAAAGAACGAGUGGCCCAUUAAUAAUCAGAAAGAACAGUACAAAUUUAUAACAUCAUUCACAGCUGAGCAGCGACUAGUACUCGGAGGGUUAAUUAGGUUGGGUGAGGUGGUGGGGAAAGGUUAAUUUGUAAGUAUAUGGAUGUGUGUCUGAAAGAAUGAGUGCUACAAUGGGAAAGAAUUUUGGGUCUCUCAGUUCUCUGUAAUGCUUUGAACUCGUCAUUCUCUUUUAAGGAAAUGUCAUCAUACCAUUUGACACCUAGGCAUUGUCGGGAACAUGCAAACCCCUCAGCUUUUGGGAAAAUGCAUCCAAACACAUCACUCACUAGUCGCUGCUUCUGUUUCACAUCAUUUCUUUUCAUUUACUUGGCAUACAUGUUACAGUUUUACCUGAUAGAGAUUGCUUACAUCUUUCUCGUGUAACUUUUCAGUUUCAUUUAUCACUACGAUACAUUGUACUAAUUAAAUUAUACAUGCAACUUUUCAGAUUUUUUUUCCCCAUUUUUCUUUUGUAUAUUAAUCUUUGGCAACCCUACUUAGAAAUUUAGGUCUCUGUUCAAUCUUGCUUAGAUUACUCUAUGCAAUCUGGAUGUCCGGGCUCCAAAUGGGUAGGAUUUGCCUUUUAAUUUAGAAGAUAAUAUUAUUUUCCAUUUUGUACAAGCGGACUUGAAUACUUGUUCGUAUUUGUAGGAAGAAAUGUACUUUUACCGUCUGACUAAUGAGUAUGAUUCCCUCAAUACCACGAAUAUGAGCUACUUGAAGUUUUAUGAUUGAAUCAUGAAGAACACGAAUUUGAGCGUAAAAACAUGUUCGGAAGAUAAUGGCAUUUGGGGUGGUCUAGUCUUAUUUAAACUCAUGAAUUACGAAGUGAUGAGACUUGGAUCAAUAAAGACAGGACUAUGGGUAGUUGGUGGCUUAUAGACUUGCUUAUUGUUUUAAAUUAAAUGACAUGUUUGUUAAUCAUUUUUUUUUUCUCUUUCGAACAGUAUACAAAUACAAUAAUGAAUUUUGCAUUGGAACUUGGUUUCAAUUAUGACAUAUAUGCUAUCAUGAUUGUAAUAAUGCACAAUGUAAGAUGAAUGUAUUGAAAAAGACUUAUCAAAAAAGUUUGGGCAGUCAAUUUUGUUAAUUUUGUGUGGUUGUAGAUUUUGAUUUCCAUAAACAAUUACAUUUGUUCCAGUGAUUCAAACAAAAGAGUUGUUCUUUUUUGGAGCAUGACCUAAUCCAUGCCAUCUUUUCCAAAAACGCAGCUUGCAUUCCAGAACACAUCCAGAUACCAAUUGCGACAUUGGAUUGCAGUAUGAAAUUUUGUUGUAUUGCUAUUUGCUAAAUGAUGAAUUAAUUAAGGUUAUGAUGAAAAACAAGGUGCCUACUCGUUAACUUGGUUUUUAAAUUAUAUAUGAUCACUAAACUAAAGAAAAAGCCGCUUAACUUCAACUGACAUUCACAUGUUUAGACUAGUAUUUAAUUAAUUGGUAAUGAUUAUUUUUAAGUACAAAUUCCAUAUAUAAGACAUGCACCAUCAUGCAAUAACAACACUUUUAAUUUAAUAUUAUUAUAUAUAUGAAAGUAUCUCAGUUCAAUUGUUUAUCAAUUUUCACAGGUCUCCCUUAAUUUGGUUAGGCAGGUAGCAAACCAAUUUAUUUAUUGAUCUUCUUCUAAUUAAUUACUUAUAUUAUAAUGUCAAAGUAUCUCAGUUAAUUUUUAAUGAUAUAUAAGUAUAUGUCCUGUCACUCUGGUCACCCUUAUUUUUGGUUAGGCAGGUAACAAACCACCAUGCAUGCUGCUAUAGCUAGUCCGAGAGACCCUUCCAUUUUUUUUUUUUUUAAAUUUAUCUUUUUGUUAACUUAACUUCAUCUUCUUCUCAUAUGUUUUCUUUGCUUUUCCCCAUAUCCUCCAUUAAAGAGUACCACAGAUUAGUUUAUGCUAUGCAAGUAGAAUAGCCACAAAAUAAGCCAUAUAUACAUUUCUUUUUCUUUCUUUCUUUUUUUUUUAUUUUUUUGUAAAGGCCAUAUAUCCACGUGAACACUUUUUGUUUUAAUUUAUUAAAUCAGCUAUUUUUGUUGUUAAGUUACAGUUAACCUAACAAGAACCUCAUACCAACAGCAGAAAAUAAUUAACCUAACAAGAGCCUCAUGCCAACGGAAAAAUAAUUACUAGAGCAAAGAAGAAGAAACAAGAAAAAAAAAUUAUAAAAAAAUAAAAAUGACGAAGCAGCUAUUUGAUGAGGUAAAAGCUCUCCUCUCUCUCUCUCUCUCUCUUUGUGUGUCCCUCUCUCUCUGUGAAGUAUGAGUCAAAACUCAAAGCAAAGUAAUCAUAGUGCAAAAAGAUUACAAUAAUAUAUAUUUGUUAAGCAAGACACUUUUCUAAGGGAUAGAUUAUGGAAUUUGAAAAUUUCAUUAAGUAAAUAUUUAAGCAGCUGUGACAUUUAGUAUCAUCAUCACCACCAUCAUCAAUCUUAGCUGCAAAAUCUUACAUCGAAGCAUCUCCUACAUAUAUCUGUGCUUCUUCAUUACUUGAAUUUGAAAACAGUAAAUAUAUAAAUGCAGAAAUGAUCACAAAUUGGUGUAGUGGGCCAACUACAGCAAUUUGUGUUCAUAAAUUAAUGUAGCUUAGCUUACAUUUGUCUAAGAGUACCCCAAUCGAAGCUCCAAAUCUAAAUCCUCCUUUGAGUCACUGAUCACUCCAAUUUCCAAGUCCAACCUAACAAUCUCACCACCUUUCUUUGAUAGCUUAAAUCCAUCAUCUUCUUCGGUGAAUCCACCAAAUUCUUUGGCCCCGGAAAACGAUUUUUCAUUCUUUUUCACUGAAUCUUUGGGGCUUAGAGCACCAGUUAGGGCACUCCAUUUCUUGAUUUCACUUGAAGAAGCUGAAGAUUGAGAAGAAAAAGAAGAAAAAGGAGAAACCAAAGGUGGGGUAGAGAAAUUAGGGUUAGGGUUAGGGUUAGGGUUAGGGUUAAGGUUAAGGUUGAGCAAAGGGUACUGACCAUUGUUAAUGUUAUUAUUAACAAUAAUAUCCUUUGGAGUCGGAGGUGAUAUCCUCAGCCUGGCCCUGUCUCUUCUAUGAACAUUCAUAUGACCACCAAGAGCUUGAGCAGAUCUGAAUUCUCUUUUACAGAAACUACAUGUGUAAGAUCUUGGUGGCCAUGAAAACCCACUUAGAUAUUCUUCUCCAUAGCUCUGCUGCUGCCGCUGCUGGCAGGAAUCUUUCAUCUUGUUGCCACUGUUUUGGUUGUUGUAGCCGUUGCAGUUGCUGAUGCUGUCCCUAGUGAAUCUACUGCCAAUUUUGUGAUCUUUCAAGCUGUUGCUCAUAAUGUUCCUCUCCAUGGAUAUGCUUUUUGGCUUUGUUAAUCAGUCAGAGACCUAUACAAAGAUCAAAGACACAUAAGAAAAAACGGUCUGUAGCUUCACAUCAAUUAUAAAGAGACCAAGAAACUAAAACAACAAAACGAAAAAAAAAAUAUUAUAAAAAGACAAAAAUCUUGCCCAUGUCUAAAAAGUAACUGACCUGAGAAAAUAUCAAAGAGCCCCAUCAAAUUUCUAAACCACAAGGUGAAAAUCCCAUUGGAGGGUAUCACUGCAGAGGAUCCUAGCCAAACGUUUGGUCACUACUACUUACUAUUUGAAGAACCUCGUUAUGCUAGCUUUGCACUCCUGUUUGUCAAAUCUAAACAGAUUUAGCUGUGUCCUUUUUACUUGUAACUUUUUAUAUAUUUGUGUGUGUGUGUGUAUACAAUUUGGUUCUGCAAUAUACAUUUGUAAAGAAAUUAUUAACUGUAGAGAAAUUGGUAGAUGGGCGUGGUUAAAUGAGCUUGCAAACUUGUCCUAUUACCAUUGGUUAAAAUCAGACAUAGUUAGAGGAGGGAGAAAUGUUUUAAUUAAAAAAUUAAAAUGAUUUCUUUCUUCCUUUUCCUUUUUUUUCUUUUAUCGUGUCCCACAGGGUUCACCGGUCAUUAAUGCCUAAUUAAUGGCUAAUUAGUGGUUAUCAUGCUCUUCCAUCCAUGUCACCAGACAGGAAGAUCUAGCACCAGAAUUAAAUUUCAAAUGCUUGCACUGGCUCUUACUGUUCAUGUUGAAUUGAAUGAAUCCAACAUUCUGUAUUCUGCCACCAAGAGACAUGCAUGAAUUAAAGAUACAUUCUUGAGUUCAGGGACCAUCGUAAUUACUUAUUCAUUCAUGUAAAGGUUAAAUGAAAUAAAGAAACUUUAUGAUAGUUCUAACAUACAAAAACAUAUAUCUCGUUUACUUCAUAGACGCUAUAAAUACAGGAUAUAUAGAGAAAACGAGAUAAGUGAUUUAAAACUAACAAAAUCUAUUGUCAAGUUAAUUUGGACGCAAAAAUUAUUAAACAAGUUGAGAAGAGAGAGAAGUAUUACCAAUCUUAUAAUUAACUGAAUAAUCCAUUCUAUAAAAGUUCAAGUAAUAAAAAUUAGGAACAAAAUUUUUGCAAGUUAACAACUAUGAUUCAUGAAUGAGAUUUCAUUGUUUUUUAUAUAAAUGUAAUUAAUUUCCUCUCUUCUUGGCCAUUUACUCAAGCAUGCAAAUCAUUUUAAGCGCCUUCAAAAGACACGGGUGUACGUUAUAUUCUUUGUUUUAAUGAAUAAUCAAAUGAAAUAUUCAAAUUCGUGUUUUUUAAAUGCAAAUGAAGUUUAAACAUAUGUUUAUCAAUAAACGGUUAUGUAAAAAAUAAAGAAAAUAAAAAUGAAGAGUGUAAAGUAAUUACUUGGUGUUAUGACACGGUCGCAUGUGAGACUACCAUUAGUUAGGUGGUGAGUAGUAAUGCAACUCUCUUUAGAAGGGAAUAUGGAUGUGUAUUUUCUUUUUCUUGUUAAAUUUUUCUUUCAAAUAUUUGAAAACUGAUCCACCUUACUGUGGGGUCGAUAUUGGUGCUAGACCAUUAUAUAGUUUUAUAAUGUAAUAGUAUAAAGAGAGAAAAAAAAAAGAAGACACACUAAUGUUGAAAGACAAUUAUGGUGCUUUUACUAAUCAGUAAUAAGAAUAGACUGGAAUCAGAACGGGCUAGAAUCAAAAUGAGGAAUGGAGAAAUCAAAAUAAAUUGGUUAUUUUAGUAGUAUGAAUCAGAAUCAGAAUGAGUUGUAUUGCAAUUGAUGUGUUUAUUUUGUCAUAGAAUUAGAAUCAGAAUGAGUUAGAUUGUUUUAAAUUACCAAAAAGUCCUUAAUUAACUAUUGUCACAAUUAUUAUUUUGUACUCUAAUAAUUAUGAUUACUAUUAUCCAUAAAAUUAUUGUUAUCAAUAAUAAUAAUCAUCAUCAUCAUCAUCAUCAACAACAACAACAACAAAAAAUCGUAAUUAUCAUCGACAUCAUCAUCAUCAUUAGGAUCAAAAUCAUUGACAUGAUGGCUGCUAUUGCUGGUUCGAUGUUCGUGAUGAGACGUAUGCUGCUGGUAGUGGUUCGACAUUUGUGACGACGAUGGUUGUUACUGGUUUGACUGUUGUUGGUGGCUCGACAUGGUGCUGCUAAUUUGAAUUUGCUUAGAUGUAUCUGGGAUUAAUUUGUUUUGAUUUUCAUCCAAUUUUGUUUUUUUUAUGAUUAUUUAAAUCUAGGAUAAAAUGGAAAUUAGGGAAUUUAGACAGGGACAAAAAAGGUCAAUAUCAAAAAUGAGAGUUUGAUUCCCAAUCCCCCCACCGUGCCUUGGGCAUCAAAACUCUAGUAAUGAAUCCCAAAUUUGUGGGUUCCGCAUGAAUUUCAUUUCAAUUUCAUGCUUCGAAUUUGUAAGUAAAACCAUCAUUAAUUCCGAUUCUAAAAUUUCCAUUUCGAUUACUGAUAAGUAAACACACCAUUAAAUCUUUGGUCUCUCGAUCAAUCAUUCGAGGAGAAAUUAUGAUUUAUGAGAGUUAAUAGAUUAUUAGAAAGCGAAAGUAAAAUCUAGUUCAACAUCAAACCUAGUCAACAGGCCAAAUUAAAAUAAAAAUUAAUCGAUUUUGAAUUCUUAUUUUUCACACCCACUUUGUCUUAACUUGCAUUAUAAAUUAUGAAGCUUCGGUAGAUGCACCACUAAAGAGUAGUAGUAUAUAGGGUUAGUUGUGUGUGGCAUGGACUGCCGCUAGCACUAGCAAAUAUCAUUUCAUUCAGAAAAAGCUUUGAUUCAAGAACCCAAUUGCAGGAAAUCUCAGUGCACUCAGUGAGAGGGGAGAGUAAGUUUGAUCAAAGAAACUCAAAUAAACAAAAGAUCCCCUGCUGCAGUUAGCUUUGAGAAAUUUGAAGUUUUAUUGAAAGACUAGAAAGCCAAUUAGGAGAAUGCAUCCCAUGCUAAAUAUGGCCGUGAUUUUACAAGGUUAUUUAGCCGAGAUUGCAGUGUUUACCCGCAGUGUAACAAGUUGCCGUCUCUUCCACUCAUGGCUGAAGGCUGAAGGUUAAGCUAAUAAAGCUAAUUAAAAGCUACUUUAAUUCAUGUGGAUACGAUAAAUUGUUUCCAUGUUUGUGUAUGACAAAAAAGACAAAUGCGAAAGAGAGAGCAUAAGACCAAAUUUAUAAAAGCCCUUGAGGGUUGAGCUAGCUAUAACCAUUUGGUUCUAUUUACUAUUUAGCUCGUUCGAAAAAACAUUCCAUCAGUAUCUUGGCUCUGCUACUCUGUUAGCUAUGUAAGUGGUAAUGUGUUGAAAAGCACUUGGGAACUAGCAAAAGGGGUUUAGUUUAAUUUUAUUGGUUGUGAGAUUAUGUAGGAUUGCGAAAGUGACAGACGUUUGUGUUCGUACGUCGCAGUAAUAAUCGUAGCUGUAGCUCUGUGACUCUGAAUUGUGUAUUACGGCAAAGGUUGUGAUUGGUGGUGCAGCUUCAUUGACUUGACUGGGCUAGCUAACCACUGGUUUUUAUUUUGUCAACCGUUUCGUUUGUUUUGGAGAAUCUGGGUUGAACAAUUGAGUUCAGAACUCUAUUGAGCCAGUUCUUUUUAUCUUUUAAUAAUAGGGGUGUCAUAUCGAGGCAGAAGGGGGUGUUUGCAUAAUACCCUUUGUCCAAAAAUGAACUUACAAGGCCCUAAUAAAAGAGCUUGGCCCAAUAUGUUGUAUAACUGACAUUUUCAGUUUUCAUUUUUUGUCCCAUCACUAUGUACAAGGAUCUUAAUCUAGCGUUUGUGUGGUUGCAUCUACUAUUUUUAUAAAUUAUAUGACAUGGCUGUCUUCUAAUUUUGCAGCUUUCAAUCUUUAGAUCUAGAAGAUUUUAGUUAGAAGAACCAAAUCUAAAGACGCAGCGUGUUACAAAAGAGCAUAUACCUUCUUUAUUGGAAGAAGUAUCUUUCGUUCAGGCAUUUUUAGUGCACUGGUUUUUUCUUUAGUGUAAGAAUGCAAUAGUUUAACCAAUUCUUUACUUGUAAUAAAUGUCUAUCAAGAUCAUUUUUACCAGUCUUUUAGUUUAAAAAAAGAAAAAGGGUCUCUAAUGGCAAAAUCAGUCGCACAAAUGAACAUGCACAAACUUGUUAUCCUAAUUCCUCUCAUAUGGAAACAGAAAACAAACUUUGAUACCUGAGUCUCAGUGUCUCACUACAUUAAACAUAAAUUCACAAGCAUGUGGAAAAUUUAAAUGAUCAAUCUGUGCCUCCACUAUUGUCUGCACCAGAAAUCUGAUGCUUAAGAAACUCCAACUCCAUUUCCAGUUCAAAGUUCUUUCUCCUCUCAGUCUCUAACUCCAUUUUCAACCUCUCAACAAUCUGCAUCAGCUGAUCCUCCCUGCUAAUUUCCCCUCCCAACAGUGCAAUCAUAUUAGAAACCUGCUGCCUCUCCUCAUCCAAGCUCCUCCUCAGCGCCAUCAAACCUCCCAACACAGUUUCAUUAUCAAACGCUCCAACAACUUCACUGCUCUGAUCACUCUCAGCGGCUUGAUGAUGAACAGCCAAUUGGGUUCCCAAAUUUGACUCCUCAGAGUUGGUAUCCGACUCACUCUGUUUCUUAAUACGAUCCGGCGGAAUGAUUGUUUCCCCACCAAAUCGAACCUGUUUCACGACGGAGUCGGAGUCUGCUCUCGACUCCGUCGUGAAAAAUGGAAAAACAGGGUCGAGUUCGAACCCUUCUUCGUUAAAAUUCCACCCACUGAUCCUCCUCUGUUUCACGGGCGGUGAUGAGCCAACCUCAAAUUCCUCAUCUUCAUGAUGUUCAGCGCCAACGUGAUUCCUGCUCUCCUUGAACCUUUCUUCAACACUACGCAACCCAUGCAACACGUUCUUGACAAAAAACUCAACGCCCUUAUUGCAGUUCUUGAAAAAAGAAUGCUUCAUAAGCUUCUCAGCAGAGGGUCUCUUUGAAGGGUCUUGAUCAAGACAAGAAGCAACCAUAUCUUUAAAAGCCCUGGAGAACUUCUUGUUCUUGUCUUUGAUCUUGAGCGUUUUCUCAUAAUCGGAGAACCGAAACCGCUGCGUCAUCUUCAUCAACAGAGAUUUUUCAGGCGGGAGAUGAGACAGAGGAGGCCUGCCGUGAGCCAACUCAAGUGCUGUGAUCCCAAACGACCAAAUGUCAGCCUUGAAACUGUACCCUGUGUGCGAGCGUAUCACUUCAGGAGCCAUCCAGUAUGGCGUCCCCGCCAUGUCAGUGAUCAUGGCCGACCCGUGGUGGUGGUGGUGACUGGGCUCGUAAAUCGAAGCCGAUACGCCGAAGUCAGCAAGCUUGACAGAGCCGUCUGAGUCACUGAGAAUGUUACCAGCUUUAACAUCUCUAUGCAAAUGGCCUUGGUUGUGAAGAUACGACAAGGCGCUUAGGGUUUCUUUGAGGACAAUGGCAAUGCAUGGCUCGGGUAACCCGUCGGGAAAACACGACGAGAUUAUGGACUGUAAAGAGCCACAUGACAUGAAGGGCAUGACGACCCACAAGCGGGAAUCGACAGAGAAAGAGCAGUGAGCGUUGAGGAUGUUUGGGUGUGAGAGAAGCGACAUGGUCUUGGUUUCACGUCGGAUGCUAUCAAGAUCGGUUCGUGAUUGAUCAAGAUCAAUGGCUUUGAUUGCAACGACGGUUGAGUCCAUGGGGAUGCAUAUGGCUUUGUAAACUAUUGCACUAACGCCAACCCCAAUCUCGUCGAGAAUCUUGUAGGAGCUUGGGUCUAGUGGGUAUUGGAUCUUUUGGGCAAUAGUACCAGUACUGCUGCAUUGAUCUUCUUGUUCGUGAUGAGCCAUUGAUGAUGGGCUUUGUGAGAGAAACAGAAUCGAUGUUUCUUGAAUUGGAGCUUAAGUAGUUUCUUGAGGUAGAGAACAAUCUUGAAACAGAAAGCAGGGUUUUAGCCCUUUGGGCGGUUUCCUUGUGAAGUUUGAAAAGGAAAUAUUGAUAUUAAAGAAGCUUUGCUGUAUCGGUGGUGGUGAUUUUAUGGUUUAGAAUGAGACGAUGCAUGUGAACUUUGAGUGACUUUUUUAUGUGUUGAUAGAAAGAUAAGGCGGUUCAUCUUUCGGGCAUUGCGUUGUUUACGAAAGGCCAUUGUGAGUGGCGUAUUCAAUUGAAUAGCAAAGGGCACUCGGUGUUAAUAAAAAGUGAAAUUGUUUCCAAAUGAAUUGGUGAAAUGGUUUAAUUAGAAACGAAAAAUGAUUGAAUUGUUAAUAUAAAUCGUUUGUACUUUAGCAUAAGGAACAAGAAUUAACUUGAAUUAACAAAAUUAAGUGGUGAUAUGCAAGGUAUCGACAUUUCUGGUGCCCCCAGUCAAUGAGCUUAAAUGGUCAUGAACAAGGACAAGGACCUUCAAUAAAGCAAUAAGUGCCAGAAUUUUGCAAUUUUGUUCUAAUUAGGUCAUCCUGUGAAACAGGGCAGUUGCCUUUAUCGGCAUCAUUUGAAAGCAAUAAAGAAGUUAAUGGGGGCAUUAACUAUUUCAAAAAUGAAGCACAUAAUUGUAACCUUUCACUUUCAGUGUGAACUUCUAGUACAAUUCAAAUUAACCUGAGAACCACGGAACCCAAAAGCAAUAAAAUGAUGGAGAGAACAAAAGACAGUAACGCAACAGAAGCUGGGACUUGUCCUUUAUCCUUCCUCCAUGCCAUCCCUUUAAUUAUUGGAUAACUCUCUAGUAAGAUGUAAAAUGAGAGGAUAACUUGCCCAAGCAACUCGUUUGCGCCCCCCGAAAUCACCAUUCUAGCAAUUCCUCCAGUAAAAGCAAUCAUAUUCAACAUGACUAAGGUAACUAAAGGAGCAAGAAACUUGGUUGAGGUAUGGAAGUUGAAUUUACCCAGUUGAUGUAAUUUGGCUUGCUCAUCAUCGGAAACUUUAUUUGUGGGUGAGAAACAUGGUUGUUUCAUACCAAAACAUUUCAAGAUGGCAUCUAUAGUUCCAUAGGUGUAGCAAGUGAUUGAUUUUAUCAUCCAAAUCCUCUGUUUGCUACACCACGUCAGGACUGAACCACCGGUGUUGAGAACCUCCAACAAAUGUUUCAGUAGUGAACAUAAGAAAAUACAUGAAAAGUUCAUAAACCAUGGACUUGAAACCUGAGUAGAAGAGAAAUAAAUAGUUACAAUGUUUUAGACCUAUCAAUAUGACAAAGCAUCUUUAGAUUGCCUCCUAAUCUCUAUUUAGAAAUGGUUAACUUCGGGUACAAGGAAAUUCCAUUUAUGAGACACAGGUGAGGCACAAUAGCUAAACACCAUGACGGCAAGGAAUAGAAUGGCUGCAAAGCAUAAUAGCUAUAGCACAUUGUUUGAAGCAAAGGCAUUCUUGAUAGCCCAUAAAGAGGAGGGGAGCACUUUGAGAAAGUGACUUCAAGCAAACCGCAGUUCCAUCUUGUGCCUUGAACCAAUGUGUCAUUCAAACUUGAUGCAGCACUUCCUAAGAAUGCUGACCGUGAUGGAUUGCAAAACAUGGAUUUCCACCCUUUUCAGUGCAAAAUGAAUCCGCUAAAAUAAUCUUCUAUCAGAGAUUUGUACAAGUAUUCUAUCGGGUUUGAAACCAAAAGCAAAGAUUCAAUGAUAUAAUUAGUAGCUACUUAAUUAUAUUAACGGCAUCCCAAUGUUUUCACAGAGGUUACUUGCCUGUUUUCGCCACAAAGUGUUCUUCUCAUAGUUGUAAGAAGCUAAAAAUUUUGCUUCCUGUUGCAGUGUGCUAGACAAGAUACCAUUGUCAAUGGUUUUAUGUUGGUUGCUACGUUGAAGAGAGAUGAUCAACUCAUUUGAAGGACCAAAGGAUUCAUUCAGAUGAUGUAGCUCUGAAUCAAACACAAACAAUUUAACAAUUUAUAGCUGACUGAUUUUUUCAUUAAGUCAUUUGCAAAUAUAUGCAAUGAUGUAUAGCAAAGAUUAAUAGAAUUGUUGACUUGAUGAACCUAACAGCUGUCUUUUCUCACUAGCAUUCCAUUUGAGAACAAUGCUUAGCUAAGAUUCAUAUUUUCAUUAAAAUAGUAUCCAGAUAUAAAUAAAUCAUGCAGUAGCACGUUGUAACCUUGUUCUGUUUCCUUUUCAAUUUGCCACCAAAUCCUCUGAAACUGAAAAAAAAAAAAUGUAGAAAGUCUGCAUAAACUGCCAUACUACUUUCGUUGAAAAUGCAGAAUUGCAGCAAAAAGGAAAAUGGACAAACCUUUCUGUGAAAACUUGCCAUAUAAUGCUUCUCUCUUCAUGUAAAAGCAGUUCCCGACAAUAUUGGUCCCUGAAUUCCAUCCAUACCUGGCCAUCUUGCCUGAAAUGUGAUUCAAGAAUUAACAAUAAUUAUCACCUUUCGAAAUUAAAGACCAAAAAAAUGCUACAAGCCAGAGCACACAGCAGAAUUACUUGCAGUCUAAUUAAGAUUAGUACUUCAUGGGAAAUAUUGUGCUAAUUUAAGGAAUUGAUUCACGAAAAAGUCGUACAAAGAUCAAGAUUUCACCAAUGUACCUGGAUUAGUGUUUACCAAACACAUUGACCAACCUCAAGCCCAAACGGACCCUAAUAUUUGUUCAACUCAUGAUUAGUUCUCAGCUAAUUAAUAUUUGUUCAACUUAUGAAUUUUUUCUCAGCUAAUUAAGAUUUGUUCAAUGUAAAGGACGAGUUAGCUGCUGGACUUCUGCUAUAUAUAUGCUAAAAACAAGACACCUAAAGACUUAACAGAGAGGCAUAUUAUCAGACUAAAGGUGGGGUGGAACUUUUCUCUAUUCCGUGACACUCCUUUUCUACCAAACAACAAAUAUGCAAGUUCCUAGAAUAAAAGAAUGAAUGUCUUGAUAGUGUAAAUUUCGUUCCUUGGAAUAUUAGACAUCUCAGACAUUAUAAACAACUUCCAAACAACGAAAAAUGGAAGUUGAUUCUUAAGGAAAAUCAUAUCUCUUCCCACAUGAGGUAACAUCCAUCCUUGUUUAAAAAUGGGGCCAUCAUCUCCUCUCAAAUGUGGCAAUCCAAACUUACGAAUAACCUCAACAAUGAAACAACUAUCGAAAAACAUCAUUUGAACAAACUCGUUCUUGCCAAAACUUAUGGAUCCUCCGUAACAAUUUCGAGCUCUUUCUUCCAGUGCCCACAUUGCCCUCACAUACUCUGCAUAACGUAUACCCGUUCGCUCUAUGAGAGUUUGAAGAUAGCUGAUUUUGUGCUCUUCAAAGGCCGAUAAGUGAUGUUUACUGUGAUGGUAAGGACCGAUUGCUAGUAAUUCUGGUUCGUAAGCCUUUUCAUCUAACUUGCGCAGUACAUCUGGGACUCCGAAAAUGCUGAAUUGAGAAGGUGCAGGGGUUGGGCGAUGAAGCUUUUCUCCAACAAGAUCAAGUACGAAAAUGCUGAAUUGAGAAGGUGCAGGGGUUGGGCGAUGAAGCUUUUCUCCAACAAGAUCAAGUACCAUGUUAGGUGGUUCACUUGCCAUGACUUGAUCUGCAUUUAAAUAUACACAGAGGCACAAAUGUUGAAAUCUGAAUUUUACUAAAUUGUGGACAACCAAAUUAAAAGUGCCACACAAGUACUUGGAAUUUUGCGUUUAAAUGUCAGUAAUUAAGACUGCAGUUUAAUAAAUCCCGGGACAAGCAAAGUGAUUGAUAAUAGUUUCAACAUUUAAAGAGAAUAAGCACUGAGCCAGAUCAGGGAUCCUGUGUCUCACACGGCUAAAGAAAAGAAGCAAAAUUCAAGGGUACAAUACCAUGCAAGGGAAAUCAUUUAAUAAGUCGAUUAAUGCUUCAAAGUUAUAAGAUACAAAUUAUAUUAUACAAUUUUUAAUCAGAGCCAACUUGUUUGAAUGCUACCGUUCCAAUUGCUAUACGAUAUUCCCUUCUUCCCUUCGUUUUUGUUCUGAUAAGUAAAAUGUUUGGUUCGCAGGUGCGUAGGGGCUCCAAUAUUCGUAUGAACAUUGAUGAAUCCAACGAGUGACCACAGGGGGCGAGAGUCCCUCGAACUAAACUUUCCUCCUAAAUUCAAUUAUUUAUUUAACGUAGGUUGUUAAUUUUAAUGUUAACUGUAUUUAUUUAAGUCCCUUGUAAUUUUAUUUUAUAAAAAGCCCACACUAAACUCUAUCCUAUGCGUGUGUGUUUAUAUGUAUAUAUAUAAUUAAAAGAGUUGGCGGCUUAAGUAUAUUUAAUCAAAUUAAUUAUUUUGUUCUUCAGAAUCCUUAUUCUAAUUUAAAAAACAAUUUAACUCAAUAACUUCGUUUCCUACAUCUAGAAUCUCUAAAGCCUACAACAAACCAUGAUGUUUCACAUUUGCAAAUCUUCAAGGCUGAAGACAACAAAACACAAAUCCUCUUCCAAUUAAGUUUUAAUAGGCAUUCAUAAUUCUUAAUCUUUUAUUCAUAAUUAUCAUAAUCUGUUAAAUAUUUCACUUAGGCCCUAUUUUUUAUGUUAAGUUGGGGGGGGCCCAAAAAAAAAUAUUUCACUUUUUUUUUUAAUUAUAAAUAUCUCUAAAAGGGUAAAAUUUUUGUUCGAUCUAAAGUUUGAAAGCGGAUUAUCAAAAUCCCAAGACGGAUUAUUGAUGAUGACAUUAAUUUAUUAUUAAAAAUUGAUCUCUCCAUAGGCUAAUGCAAUUCCAAACAUAUGCUGGAAAAUGGAAAAAAUGUUUUAUUGGCAGCUAGCAUAAUAAUUAUGGAGCACGUACAAAAAUGUAAUGAUGUCAUGUAAUGAUGACUUUUAAAAUGUAAUAAACAUAAUGGUAACUACCAUCAAUCCCACCAGAUAAUUACUACUCUCUUUCAUUUAUUUUCCUUUUAAUUUUCUAUUGUAAUUGUUAGGAUAAUUUGCGUAUUUAUAUCAUUAUAAAAUAGAAGAUAGCUGAUGAAUAAAAAUUAUUUUCUUGCCUUUGGCUUUUUAAUAUGUUUAAUCUAAAAUCUAAAUCAUAUACUGGGACGUGAAGCUCUUUAUCACCAUUCACCAAGUUUAUUAUUGAAAUUAACAAGUUUAUUAUUGAAAAAUGGGAUUUAAUUCGUUUAAUAUAGGAAUUAACAAGUAAAUUUCACUAUCAGUUCAUAUAUACUUUGCUUUUACACAGUGAUCUUAUUCUAGUGUGCCGUAGUGGACUAGUGGUGAUGCUUCCUCUCUGAAUUGGAUUUUGGAUAAACAUAUAAAUUGCUCUUGCUCAAGUGAACAGUGAUAUGAGUCCCCCAGUCCCUUAUUUUAAAUAAAAUAAAAUUCUCUUUCAGUAAACAAUAGAAAAUACAAACUCCAAUAUAUAUGGGACAAAACAAAUUACAUUAAAAUUUCUAGUUUUUUUUUCUUUUCUUUUUUUAAUUUGGUAAGCUGAGGGUGAGUGAAACGUCAAAAAAAUAAAUAACAAUACAACAAUACAGUACUACAAUUGUUAGGAUCACACUAAUUUAUUACAAUUAAACUUAUAUUUCAAUAAUUUUCGUUUAGCAAAAAGAAAAAAAGGGGAAAAAAAUGAAACCAAGGGUGAGCAUUAAUGUAAUUGAUACCCAUUUCUUGUUAAUAUACGACUUUUAAUUCUCUUAUAAUAAUUUAAAUACUGUCUAGUUAUGAAACCAUUACCCAUAUUCCUCCCAAGUAUUAAAUAAAAAAGAAAGACGAAAAACUAUGCAAGAUCAUUCUUCUAAAAUUUUUAAACAAAAAACAGAGGAUUUAAUUUCGAACCAUCAUUUUUCUAAAAUUUUCAUGUUCUUUCAUAUGUAUUGCAUACACUUUCUAUUCCUUGUGUUCAUCAUUUAUCAAAGAUAAGAGACAAAUAAAAAUUCCAAGAAUCAAAGAAGAGUUAAUUUUGUCAAGGAUAAGUGUUCGUUUAAUCCUAAUAAUUUUUAUUAAGUAUCCGUUUAGUUCCUACAAUUGCUUCACUAUUACUUUUUUUUCCUUUUUCAAAAGACCCUUGCAACAAAUCUUAGGGAUAUAAAUUUUUUUGUUAUUAAUAUUAAAUUAACAUUUUAUUUUUUCAUUAUGUCCCUAAUAUUAUUAUAAGAGUAUUAUUAUAAAAGUAAAGAAACAAAGCAAGGAUGUAACAUAAUUACUAAGAGGAAAGUCUUGGAACAUUUUAAAAGAUAUAAGGACUAAACGAGGAUUUAUUCUUUUGUCAAAAUUUCAUAGCCCUUAACCUUAAAAUCAAGCCAAGAAAAAUUUGCAGAAAAAUAUAAUAAAUAAAUUAGGUUAAAUUCGAUGAACACAAUUUAUUUUUAACUUAGAAAACAAGUUGUUAGUACACUACUGUUGGGAAUAAUACAAUUUCUUAAUCUUUAGGAUUACUGAAUUAUCCGAUUCACAAAUACACGUUUAUCAGCAUUAUUUGAUUAUGAGAAAUAUCAGAGGAAAUUGCAUGAAGUUUUACACAUCCUUUAUUUUAUUUUAAGCUUGAUUUCUGAGAGGUUUCAUGAAUGGAACAUGAUCCUCUCCUGAUCUGAGCUAUACUGAUCUUUUAAAAAUCUUAUGUCAUGUGUCUUUUAGUGGUAAUAUAUGGGUAAGAUUUAACUUCAGUGGUUUGCUAAGAACAUGAUCAGAUCAAGAGAGAAUCUUGAUCCUUCAUUAAUAGGGUUUUGCUUCUCUGUUAGGUUUUUGUGUCUUUUUGUAGCAAAUAUUAGGGGUGGACAAAAAAACCGUAAUGUUAAAAAAACCGAACCGAACCGACGGUUUUUUUUAAUUCGGUUCGGUUUUUAUUUUUUUUAAAAACCAAAUAUACCGUUUGUAAAAAAAACCAAAAUGUCGGUUCGGUAUUCAGUUCACUUAGCUGAACCGAAAAACCGAAUUAUUUUUUGAUUUUAUUCAAAUCAAACAUGAUUUUAUUUAAAUCAAACAUGUGUUAUUUCUCUUUAUAACAUUAUGAUUAUGUUUAUAUAGAUGGAGUAUUGGAGUUUAGUUAUGUAUUUUGAAAUUUUAAUAUUUCAUAUUUUGGGAGUAUCUUAUUAAUAGUUAGUAAGAUAUUAGUGAUAAAAUGUGUUUUGAAUACUUUGUAUUUAUUGUUAAUAUUUGUAAUAAAAUUAGGAUAAAUUAAUUGUUGAAAAAAAUUAUUACAUUCAUGAGGCCCAAUGGGCUAAAAAUUUAAAAAUUCAAAAUAGACCCAAUAGGCCCAGAAUCGAAAAAACCGAACCGAUCCGAAAAGAACCGAUCCGAAAAGAACCGUUUGAGUUCGGUUCUUAUUGAGUUCGGUUCUUAUUCGAUUCUUUUUAUAAAAUAACCGAUUUAAAUCGGUUCUACUUAAUUUCAAACUGAACCGAACCUAACCGAACCGUGCCCACCCCUAACAAAUAUGGCUAACCUUAUUUACCCGAAGCUAGCUAGCUUUCUGAGGAGCAAAGACUUAGUAUGAAAAGAGCACAUCAUGAGUACUACUAGUAAGAAAGACCGUUCUCCUAAAGAGAAGCAUGAUGAUGACGAAAUCGAAAAUGGAUUUCCAAGAGAAUGUGCCCCACCACCACCAGUACAAGCACUGGAUCCAGACCCAUGUAUGCCGAAGUCGGCGCCGCCUCCAGUUCCGAAGCCGGUGCCGGAACCGGCGCCGGAUCCGAACUUCGAAGUAAAGUCAGAGAGCUUAGAAAAUCGGUAUUCAUCCUCCCUAGAUUCUAGGAAAAAGGGAUGUUGUUGUUUAAUUUUAUGAAUCUUUGUAUGAAUGCCACUUUAACCUUUAUGUUGAUGCAUACACUCAUAUCUUGAAGAUAUACAUAUACAUAUAUAUAUAUAUAUAUAUAUAUAUAUAUAUAUAUAUAUAUAUAUAUAUGUAUGUAUGUAUGUAUGUAUGUAUGUAUCAUCAUAUUUAUUCUGAUAUCUGAUGAAGAUGUGAAUACUAUAUACUUCUUUCUGUUUUUUUUUUUUUUGAUAGGAUAUGCUUCUUUCUGUUAAAUAGUUUAAUUUAUUGCUAGUUCUAUUGCGAACGUCAAUUAGCUACAAAGACUUAAAAGUACUAUAACUCAAAAGCAAACUAAAUAAUAAAUUAAACUACUGAGGAAAGCCAUCAAAACCAUUACCGAAACGUCCUCCCAAGUAAUUAGAAGAAAAAACCUAUGCAAGAUCAUUUUUUAUUUUUCUUUGAAGAACAUUUAAUGAAAUUGGAAAGUAAGUUUUAAGUCCUCCAAAAUGCAGCAAAACAAUAUUAUUCAAAAGGACUCAUAAUGGCUAAGUCAGUCCAGUCGUAUUGGUGGCCAAAUCAAAAAGUUUGUUCGCCUUUAUUAUUGAGCUUUUUCACAUCCAUUGAAAAAGUUUUAGCCAAAAGAGUGGUAAUAAUAAUUUUUAUCUAAAAAUUUGAAAUCAUUUUUUUAAUUACUGUUUACAAAACAGAUUAUAAUAAAAAAAAUCUUUGUAUUUUUUAUUAAGAUAAAAUUCUCUCAAAAAAUAUUUAAAAAAUAUUUAAAAAAUAUUUAAUACAACUAUACUUACCAAAGACCUUAAUUAAGGUAUAAAACAAUCUUAUACCAAUUGAAUUGAUUUGUACAAAGUGAUGCCGAUCAGGAAAAAGUGUCAAUCUUAAAAGAAAAGCAGAAAAAAACAUAAAAAGACGAAUGCUAUGGUCUCUCGUUUUGCAUUUGACAGGUGAGAGAUAAAAAGUGUUGUAGGCUCCAUAAACAUCAUGGACUCGACUAGCUUACAGAAUCUGUAAGCUACAGACUGCAGCAUCAGCCGUUGGAUGUGGAGUGAGAAAUUAAACAAUAGAAAAUGGGAUGGUGGGAUGACGGGAGAUGUUAGGUACAGAGUCUGUACCAUAGGCGGCAAGUCCAAACAUCAUUUAUGCUGCGUUUACUUUUUGAAUUGGAGUGGGAAUUCUGAGGAGUGAGAAUUUUUGGAUUAGGAGUGUGGAGUGGGAGUGAGAGUAAGGUGUUUACUUAGAAUAAAUAAAAGUAUGAAUUGUCAAUCAGAAUCCCAAUUAUUUAUUUACUUUGUCUUGAAUUGGGAGUAAAUUAUUUUAAAUUAUAAUUUUAUCCUUAUGUACAGAAUUAUAAUUUAUAAUUAAAAAAUUAAUAAAAAAUAUAUUUGAAAAAUAAAAUAAAUAUUUUAUUAUAUUUAUAAAUUAAUAAUAAUUACUAAUAUUCUUAAUUAUGUAAAUCAUAAUUUUUUAUUAAUUUUAAUUUAAAUUAUGUGAAUAAAAAUUAUUAAUAAUAGCAACACAAAUGAAAUAUUAUUAUUGAUAAUAUAGUAUAAAAUUAAUAUUUUUUUAGAAUAAAAUAUUUAUUAUUAUUAAUUAAAUAAAUAAAUAAUAUUUAUUAAAAUUAAUGUUUAAUAUUAUUAAUUUAAAUAUAAUAUUUAUUUAUUUUUAUUUUAUUAAAUUUAAUAAAAUAAAUAUGAUAUAAUUAUUACUUUUAAUAAAUAUGAUAUUAUUUAUUUAUUUUAAUUUUAAUUAUAAAGAUAAAAUAGGAAGAGGGGGGAGUGGAUUCCCACUCCCACCUCCCCCCAUAGGAGUGGGAAUCCCACUCCCCACUCUAAAAUUAAGUGGGAUCCACGAAUUUCCACUCUCACUCCUUCAUUUUUUAAGGUAAGUAAACACUGGAGUGGGAGAAAUUCACACUCCACACUCCCACUCCAGUAAGUAAACACUACCUUAUAGUUUUAUACUUAUCUAUUGUUUAUUUUGUCUAUUAUAUUCAUUGUCUUACUUGAUUUAACUAUCAUCCCAUAUAUUUAUUAUAAUUACGGCCCUGCCACUUUUUAUUUACCACAAUGUCCUUUCAAAGUUUAAGCAAAAUACUUUUGAUCAAAACACGUCAACUGUUUCUCUAAAAUUGUUCCAAUUACUUCUCCUAAAUUUCGAGAAAUUACUUUCAACUACUUAUCUCAAGUCCCAGAGGAGCCAGAAACUUAGAAAUUUAUUUGAACUAUAUUUGUAGUUAUCUAAGUUCCAUGAAUUUUUUUUUUUUUUGAGCCACACAUAGAUUUAAAUAAAUAAACAAACAAAUUGUUUCUUGAUACCUUUUCAAUUAUUUAGAGAGUUAGCUAGAGUAAAAUAUUCCAAACAUAACAAGAUCAAAAUGGGGCAAGGAUAAAUAUAAACAAUAACAUUUUAUAUAAUAAAUUUAGCAUUAUAUGCACCCAUUUAAUUUAAUAAUGAUUGAAGCAUAAUUUCAAAGAUUCUUUUUCAAUGACAAUGAAAAAGGACCAAAUAAUUUAACAAACUGUAUAAUAUAAUUAUUAAACAAAUACACAGUCUUUUACUACAUAGAAUGACUCAAAUAAUCUAAAAAUUAUUAACAUUAAGUAGUCUUUACGUUUAAAUUAAAAAAUUCACUUGUGUAUGUAAUUCAUGUGAUAUUGUGAAAUGUAUAUUUAAUAAAAAAAGUAAAAAUUAAAAAAGAUUUGUCAAGAAAAUUUUAAGCUAGAGAACUUGUUCGAUGAUAUUCUGAAACAUAAAUUUUACUUAAAAAAAAAAAAAAGAGCUCUGGUUUCAAGUGGCUUUUCAACAGAUUGAGGAGAAACAAUUUUUCUUUUCUUUUCUUUCUUUCUUUUUUUUUUUUUUUUGAAAAGAAGAGAAACAAUUGAGGGAGAAAGAGUGUUCAAGAAAGUUUACAGUUGAAGGGGUAAUGUUGUAAAAUUGAAUAUGGUAUAGAUAUAAUUAUUGUGAGGUUGUAGGAUGAUGUUAAGUCAAAUAAAAUAAUGAUGCAAAAGACAAAAAUACAGUGUGCUUUUCGGUAAAUAUAAAAGAUAUGUUAUGGGACACAUGUCGAAUCUAGAAUCAGCGAGUGGGACAAUCACUCAAAAUAACGACUGACACUAGCACCCCUCAAAAUAAAAAAAAAACAAGUGAAUAUUGGGAUACAUUCAAUAAAAAAUAAAAAUAAAGAAAUAAAUUGCAUAUUGAGUGAAUUUUAAGAACAUUAUAACGUCUAUAACUUUCGGUUGGCCGGAUGGUAAAAUGAAUUAGGCUUUCUUUUUUAGCUGAGCUUUGUUGAAUGCUGAAUUUAUGGUCAGAAUCAUUUUAAAAUAUUUUAAAUUUUCAAAAUUGUCGGAUUGGAGCCCACACCCGCGUGAAGUCUCCUUUGUAUUAUUAGUAAACAUUCUGCUACUUUAUUUCAUCAAAAGAAAACAAAGGAUCGAAUUCCUUGCAACGGUAAGACUGGGAUCUCGUCAUUGCACCGGUAAGAUUGCGAUCUCGUUAAGCAAUAGGAACGGUGGCCUUCAAACGAGUAAGUUAAUUACAAAAUUGUUUAGAAUAAUAAUUUUGCUUAGUUUCUUUAGUCGUGUGACAGUGGAGAUCCAUGAUCUGGCUUAGUGCUGUAGGAACUAUCACUAAGGAUAUAAAGAAUUGAAAUCGAAACAAAUAUAUAACUUUUUGAGUUGUUUUUGGUCAUUCAAUUAAUGAGUUAUUGUUGAAUAUUGAUGAUUUUGCUUCACUCCCUCCUGUUGUGCAAGCAGUGCUGCAACUAUAAUUCUUAGAUGUCGAAACUAUUAUCUAUCACUAGGUGUUAGCUAGAUUUAUUAAAAUUCAAACAUAAUUCCUGACAAUCAUAGUAGCUUUUAUGAAAAAUUCAAGUACUUGUGUCUUCUGUGGUUGUCAAUAAUUAUGGAUAUACAGAUUUCAACAUUUUUGAAAUUUUGAUGCUGCGAGUUAAAAUGCAGAUCAAGGCAUGGCAAGUCCAUCAGCUGACAGAGUACUUGAUCUUGUUAAGGAAAAGCUUGAUGGUCUAACUGCUACACCAUCUGAUCGGUUCAACAUUUUUAAGGUGCCUGAUGUACUGCGUAAGUUAAAUGAAAAGGCUUAUGAACCAAAAAUGCUAGCAAUUGGUCCUUAUCAUCACGGUAAAGAAGAAUUAUCGACCUUUGAGGUGCACAAAACACGCUAUCUCAGAGAACUGCUAGACCGUACGAGCAAGCCUUUGCCAGACUAUGUCAUGGCCAUGAGGGCAAUGGAAGAAAGAGCUAAAAAUUGUUAUGGAGGGUCCCUAAGUUUAGAGACAGAUAAGUUUGUGCUAAUGAUGCUUCUCGAUGGUUGUUUUAUCGUUGAGGUUAUUCGUAAGUUUGCAUUGACGCGUUUGAGAGGAAAUGACCCAAUUUUUGAACUGAGUUGGAUGUUACCUUCCAUAGCACGAGAUAUGAUUUUGCUUGAGAAUCAACUUCCAUUUUUUGUUCUCUGGGAGUUGUUUACCAUGACUAAGAUGCCUAAUGAUCAAGAUAGUGAUAAAUUUCUUCUCAUGAUCCUGCGUUUUUUCAAUGGCAUAUUACCAGGAAAGGGUUGUCGAGAAGAUACUGUUCGUCGAGAUAAUCUCUAUCCCAUAAAUGAAAUCAAACAUCUAGUCCAUUUGAUACACGAUAACUGGCUUCCAUCAUCUGCAGGCAUUAAUGCAUUUCGGAAUAAUGGCAAAAAUAAUAGUGACUGGAGCUUCAUUUGUUCUGCCACCGGCAUUCAAGAGGCUGGAGGCCAGUUCGGGAUGUUUGAGGUCCAUAAGGAUGAUUCCUUGUUCGAUAUUAAGUUCGAAAAUGGGGUAAUGAAGAUCCCAUCCCUGGAAAUUACUGAUGCUACAGAAACUAUUUUUCAGAAUCUCAUUACAUUCGAGCAGUGUUCCCAAGAUAUAAAUCCGAAGCAUGUAAUAGAUUAUGUUGAAUUGUUGGGCUGCCUCAUCAACUCUUCAAAGGAUGCUGAAUUACUUCGUCAUCGUGGAAUAAUUGAUAAUUUUUUAGGAGAAGAUGAAGUGAUUGUAACCUUAAUGCACAAGCUUGGUGAUGGUGCUGUACUCGGUAAGCAGUUCUAUUACUGGGAGGUAUUUAACAAAGUGAACUUCCAUCGCAGCAGGCGUCGUAAUAAGUGGAUGGCCAAUUUGAGGCACAAUUAUUUCAACACUCCGUGGGCAAUCAUCUCCGUUCUUGCUGCUUUUGCCAUACUUCUCCUAACGAUGGUGCAAGCUCUGUUUGCAGUUCUUUCUUAUUUUCAACAAGAGCAAAGCAAUUGACUUUGUGGUUGCCAUGCUUAUUGUAUCAUACACAACAUUAGUAACAGUUAAAAGUAAGGUGUUUGAUAUAUGUCAUUAGGUGUUCGACAGAAUGCCCCAGUGGUUUUGGCGGGGAAACCGUAAUUGAAGAUUUGCUGCAAAUGAGGUUGAUAUGAGAGCCUCUAGAAGGUUUGGGCCAAGAACAAUCGAGAAUAAUGCGAGAUAAGGAUGUGAAUCACCAAAAGAAAUGAAUACAAAAAUAUACUGUGAGUUUCUCAUCCUUUAUUGUAUUCACUGAAGUAAUCUAUACCCCUUGAUUUAUGUUUAAAGUAAGUUCAACGAAGCAUUAAUUAAUUAAUUAUAAAUCAACCUUGAAUUUGAUGUCUCUUUGAUUGGCCCUAGCUAGAAAUUUUACAUAGUCUCUUAUUUAAAUUUAUACUUCAGAAAAGAUGAGUCGUAUGAAAUUCAAGAGCCUAGAUAUGUGCUGUGUAAUUUUAAGUCUUAAGGCUGAUCUUCAACAUCAAAUUUUAAUAUAUUUUCAUUUAUUUCUUGACUUUGUUAUGCUCUUAACUCUCCAUUUUAUCACCACGUUCAACUCUAAAAAGGAUUUGAGAAAGGGUACCCCUACUUAGAGACAAUUUUUAAUUUAUCUACUAAAAGUGUGAAAACAUCAAUUUAAUAUUGUAUUAGUGAUUAUUAAAUUUAUUACAAUCAAUAAUGCAAUAAAUUAUUAAGUGGUUAAUUUUAUAGAAAAAUUAUUAAAUAUGCAAGUAAUGAAAAUUUAAUCUAGUAGAAGUAAAAGUACCAAUUUAAUUAGAUCAUAGAUAAUAAAUAAAAAAUAAAUUUUAAGUAAAUCAUAAAUAAAAAAAUUAAUUAAUUAUUUUAUUGAUUGAUUGAUAUUCGGUAUAAAUAAAAAAUAAUGUUAUGAAUGAAACUUUUAUAAAUGGACAACUUUUUUUCCUUAAUUUUAUUCCAAUAAAUCCAUGAGUAUAUUAAGAUUACAAAUCCCAUGAUUUUAAGACUAAAUUUAAAUUUAGUCCUCCUUAGUUCAAUCCAACUCAGCUUGCCAAAUAUGAAAUAAAUAUUUAAUUUCAAAAUUAGUUCAAUCUCUUACUUAAUCCUAGCAUUCAAACAUGGCCUAAGAAGAUAAAAACAGUGCUAUUGUUCAUGCUAUAAAGCUGUCCUUUCUAUCUUUGCAAUGUCUUCUUAAUACUCAAAUAUCAUUUUUCUUUAUUCAAAUGUCUAAGAUAAAAAUGGUGGUAAGAAAUUGUGCCCUCAAUUUGAGGGCACAUGUAUGUUCCACCGUUACAGUUCCAACUUUCAUACUAGACUUAAUUGUCUCUUAUAUAGGAAUAAAUAUCAUAUAUAUUUAGUGUCUACCCAAUUAUUUUCAUUAUCAUCCUUUUGCUACCCAAUAUGGUAGCAAGCAUAACUUUGCGUUACUUUUUUAUUAUAUUCAGAUCCUUCCACUCUAUUUUGAAGUAAUUAUCCACUGUAUUCUUCACAUCUUGUAUUGAGAACCAAACCAUUCAAAAGAGGCUAAUCUUUUAGCAAUUCCCUUAUUUUCAAUUAUAUUAUCAUAUUUUGUUGUUUCUAAGAAUCCCAAGUUUGGAAGGAGGGGACUUAAAACAUCUAAUACCUAAAAUAUGCUUAAACAACCUUAGGUUCUAAACAUGAGUAACAAAAACGACUAACCUAAUGGUGAGAACCUUACAAUUGUAAAAAUUUGUUAGACUUUUGAUUUAUUUUUAUUAUAUUUAGGGAUUAAAUUUUGAUCGAGCUUCUUAGAUUAGAAUAAUGAAAAGGGAAUUGAACAACGAGACUUCUUUUGAUGAUUUAACUUCAAUAAUGGCAUAAUUGAUAGCAAUCGUCACUCUUUUAGAUCUUCCAUAUUAACAAAUUGUAUUGUCCUAACAUAGAUAGAGGUUUAACUUGACAUCAUUUUAUUGACCGAGAUGAUAUUUAGUUUAAGAGUAUGAGUGAUGAAAUUUAAUAAAUUGCAUAGAUCGUGAUGUUUCGAUACGAUAAUAUUAGCAUCACUUAACACUUUCUUUUAAUUGGUAUGUUUAAACAUAAUUAUUAAAAUAAAAUGAAGUAUUUCAAUAGCCGUUUUCUUCCAAAAUUUCAAACUUCAAAAUGAUACAAUCUCUCUUACAGAAUCCUAUAAAGAAAUCUUCCGAAACAGCUUGAUACGAAAAACCCACCUGAUUUCGAAAGCAAGGAGAGAUGUAAUGUGAUGGCAUGUGAUAAUGAUUUAGUAAUGCAAUUAAGACUUGACUAUGUUUAAGUGGAUAAGAUGAUGUGCUUGUUGCUUGCCUCUUUACCCCAUUUUGUUUGAUGCUCGUAACUGCAGGAGGCUAAAACUUCGGUCUCUUGCUGCAAUACCUUGGAAGCAAGGAGAGAUGUAAUCUUUCGGGCAUUGUGUUGUUUACGAAAGGGCAUUGUGAGUGGCAUAUUCAAUUGAAUAAAAAAGGGCACUUGGUGUUAAUAUAAAGUGAAAUUGUUUCCAAAUGAAAUGGUGAAAUGGUUUAAUUAGAGAUGAAAAAUGAUUGAAUGGUUAAUAUAAAUCGUUUGUACUUCAGCAUAAGGAACAAGAAUUGAUUUGAAUUAACAAAAUUAAGUGGUGAUAUGCAAGGUAUCGAGAUUUCUUGUGCCCCCAGUCAAUGAGCUUAAGUGUGUCAUGAACAAGCGCAAGGACCUUCAAUAAAGCAAUAGGUGCCAGUAUUUUGCAAUUUUGUUCUAAUUAGGUCAUCCUGUGAAACAGGGCUAUUGCCUUUACCGGCAUCAUUUGAAAGCAAUAAGAAGUUAAUGGGGGCAUUAACUAUUUCAAAAAUGAAGCACAUAAUUGUAACCUUUCACUCUUAUUGUGAACUUGUAGUACAAUUCAAAUUAACCUGAGAGCCACGGAACCCAAAAGCAAGAAAAUGGUGGAGAGAACAAAGACAGUAACGCAACAGAAGCUGGGACUUGCCCUUUAUCCUUCCUCCAUGCCAUCCCUUCAAUUAUUGGGUAACUCUCCAGUAAGAUGUAAAAUGAGAGGAUAACUUGUCCAAGCAACUCGUUUGCGCCCCCCGAAAUCACCAUUCUAGUAAUUCCUCCAGUAAAAGCAAUCAUACUCAACAUGACUAAGGAAACUAAAGGAGCAAGAAACUUGGUUGGGGUUUGGAAGUUGAAUUUACCCAGUUGAUGUAACUUGGCUUGUUCAUCAUCGGAAACUUUAUUUGUGGGCGAGAAACAUGGUUGUUUCAUUCCAAAACAUUUCAAGAUGGCAUCUAUAGUUCCAUAGGUGUAGCAAGUGAGUGAUUUUAUCAUCCAAAUCCUCUGUUCAUUACACCACAUCUGGACUGAACCACCGGUGACGAGAACGUCCACCAAAUGUUUCAGUAGUGAACAUAAGAAAAUAGAUGAAAAGAUCACAAACCAUGGACUUGAAACCUGAGUAGAAGAGAAAUAAAUAGUUACAAUGUUUUAGACCUAUCAAUAAGACAAAGCAUCUCCAAAUUGCCUCCUAAUCUCGAUUUAGAAAUGGUUACCUUUGGGUACAAGGAAAUUCCAUUUAUGAGACACAGCUGAGGCACAGAAGCUAAACACCACAACGGCAAGGAAUAGAAUGGCUGCAAAGCAUAGUAGCUAUAGCACAUUGUUUGAAGCAAAGGCAUUCUUGAUAGCCCAUAAAGAGGAGGGGAGAACUUUGAGAAGGUGACUUCAAGCAAACCGCAGUUCCAUCUUGUGCCUUGAACCAAAGUGUCAUUCAAACUUGAUGUAGCACUUCCUAAGAAUGCUGACCGUGAUGGAUUGCAAAAGACGGAUUUCCAUCCUUUGCAGUGCAAAAUGAAUCCGGUAAAAUAAUCUUCUAUCAGAGAUUUGUACAAGUAUCCUAUCUGGUUUGAAACCAAAAGCAAAGAUUCAAUGACAUAAUCAGUAUCUGCUUAAUAAUAUUAACGGCAUCCCAAUGUUUUCCCAGAGGUUAUUACUUGCCUGUUUUCCCCACAAAGUGUUCUUCUCAUAGUUGUAAGAAGCUAAAAAUUGUGCUUCUUGUUGCAGUGUGCUAGACAAGUUACCAUUGUCAAUGGUUUUACGUUGGUUGCUACGUUGAAGAGAGAUGAUCAACUCAUUUGAAGGACCAAAGGAUUCUUUCAGAUGAUGUAGCUCUGAAUCAAACACAAACGAUUUAACAAUUUACAGCUGACUGAUUUUGUCAUUAAGUCAUUUGCAAAUAUAUGCAAUGAUGUAUUGCAAAGAUUAAUAGAAUUGUUGACUUGAUGAACCUAACAGCUGUCUUUUCUCACUCGCAUUCCAUUUGAGAACAAUGCUUAGCCAAGAUUCAUAUUUUCAUUAAAAUAGUGUCCAGAUAUAAAAAAAUCUUGCAGUAGCACAUUGUAACCUUGUUCUGGUUCCUUUUUAAUUAGCCACCAAUUCCUCUAAAGCUAAAGGGGAUAAAAAAUGUACAGUCUGCAUAAACUGCUAUGCUACUUUCGCUGAGAAUGCUGAUUUGCAGCAAAAAGGAAAGUGGACAUACCUUUCUGCGAAAAAUUUCCAAAUAAUACUUCUCUCUUCAUGUAAAAGCAUGUUCCCGACAACAUAGGUCCCUGAAUUCCAUCCACACCUGGCCAUCUUACCUGAACGUGAUUCAAGAGGUAGCAAUAAUUAUCAUCUUUCCAAAUUGAAGACCAGAAAAAUAACUACAGGUGAGAGCACACAGCAGAAGUACUUGUAAUUGUAGUCUAAUUUUAGAAUAGGAACCAUGAUUUGGUGUGUGCAUAACUUUAUGGGCAAUGUGGUGCCAAUUUAAGGAAUUGAUUCAUGUAAAAGUUAUACAAAGAUAAGAUUUCACGAAUGUACCUGGAAUGUUGUUCUCAACUGGCUAUCAUAAAUGUCAUUGCUACUAAUGUUGUGGAAUUUCUGAGGGAACUGAACAAAGGCCAGUGAGGGAGACAGUUUCGGAUCAAGGUGGAAGCACAUAGCUUGCUUGGCAGAUGUUGGGUCAUUGCAGAACAUGUCACAGUCCAAUACCAAUAUGUAAGGGGAGUUACUGAGUAUGCUCGAGACUCUAAGCUGCGUCAAUGUCACAAAUUCUUAUAUUUCAUAAACAUUAGCCCGCACAAACUCAGAAAACAAAGAGAUGAAGCUAGAGGAAUAGAGAAAUACAAGACAAUUCAGAGCUCCAGCUUUGAAAUGGUGUGGAUGAGGUGGUCUUUUCUCGCGAGAAACAUACACAAGAAGAGGCAUCUCAACUUGGUUAGCCCUCACUUCAUCAUCAGAUUUAUCAAUUAUCACCUGGAAAAAUGAAAAGAAAAGGAUCCCAAAUUAUUUCAUAGCUAUGGAACUGAAUCAAUUAUGAGUCAAUGCAAGUAGCAUCUAAUGCUCUACUCCGCAUGAUUAAAUUGACAAAAUGGUCUACAAGGUCUUGAUUCUUGGACACAUAAGUAAUAAUAAUUUAUAUUUGCAGCAACAAACAGGAUGCUCCAGCACAUACCUCAACAAUUGAAGGAUUGAUUUUAUCCGUCGCGCUGCUUUUGUCUUCCUCUGCUAUCCGAAUGUGUUCUUUAAACAACUCAUACUUCCUCUGCAUUAGCAUAACAAAAAUGUGAAACUUGACACACAUAAUCCAUGCGGAUUUGGAUACAGUGCUGAUCUUUUGAGAGAUUGUUUUAAGUUUUAGCUGUGGCCUGCUAUAAGCGAAUUACAAAAUCUAUAAAAGAUCAGCACAGCUCAGAUGAGCACUAGAUCCGCAAUGCACAAACAUGUAGCUAUUAAUGAUGAGCUCAAACCUUGAUAUUCACUCUUUCUUUUUCGUACUCCACACUCCGAGUAAAACAAUGAUCGUCAUUUAAAUUUGAAAAAUAAACCUUAGGACAUCUAGUCUUAAUACCAAACCUCCUACAGAAAGGAAGCCAAGAGCUCGCAAAAGCACAAGCUUGUCUCAAAGCAAGCAGAGUUAAAGCGGAGCCAGCAUCAUCAGAAAGAUACACAUGAAGCUUUUUUGAAGGAUAAUCAAGUGCCAUAGCCGACAAAACUGUAUUCAUCACCUCAACAGGUGGCUCCUUCUUGGGAUCCGCCGUGCAUAUAAACACGUCGAUAGCGGGUAAAUUUUGUUCAUUUUCUGGCAAUCUUUCUGGGAAAACCGUGCGGGAAACCGGGUUCCACAUAUAAGCUUGAGUUAGAAGCCAAAGAAGAGACAAAAGCAGCUCCGAGGCAAAGACUAGAAGCUGAGCGGGCAGUGAAGCUAAGGGUGUUGAUGCCAAAGAAGAAACCCUGUAGUAAAUGAGUGAUGUUAAAGCUGUGACAUGGAUUAAAGAAUACAAACGGUUGAGUAUUGAUGAAAGCCUGUUGUAGGGUUUGCAAAGAUGAAGAGGCAGAGGUUCCAUUAAUAGAGUUCAAAGCUUACUGUUUUAAUUAUAUAACGACAGUUCAAGUAUAUUGAAGCUUUUGCAUAUUUAUAUUAUUACAUGCAAAACAAUGUAAUGUUGGCUGGCUCAUAAACAAAGAUGGAGCAACUUGAAUUGAACCGAAAUGCCUAAUUCAUCUGAACACGUGUGAUUCGGUAAUCAAUCAGUAAUAAGGUGUGUCUUGUUUUUGCCCAAUUACUUUUGUCCCGUUAUGUUUUGGUAUUUUUUGGGAGUACAAAUAAUACAACAUAAAUAUUUGAGCAGCACAAAUUUCCCUCUCGUGACCCGACACUAUCAUUAGAACACACAUGCAGGUUUAGCCAAAACCAUGAUAAAGGUUGUUGGAUUCUCAAACUUCGGUAAUAGUUUUUCAUAAGGUUAGAAGGAAAAAUGAAAAAUGCUAAUGUUUUAAUAUUGAAUCACGUCAGCUUUUAUGCAGAUAUUUAUUCAAGAGUAAUGAUAUUUAAACAGUAAGAAGAUAUUGAGGCUACAUUUAGUGCGCAGGAUUGGAUAGAAUUAAUUAUUAAAAUUAAACUCAAUAUUAGACUAAAUUAAGUUGAAUUAUAUUAUAUUGUCUUAUGUCUGGUAUAGUACUGAUUGAAUGUUGUUAAAUUAUAUUUAAAUAAUAAUAAAUAGCAUUUAAGUUGAUAUUUAAAUAUAAAUAUCAAUUAUUCAUGAAAUUUUAUAAUAAUAAAUAAACUAAGUUUAAAAAGUAAUUAAUAAGAAAAUUAAAUGUAUUGUAAAUAAGUUAAUGGGUAGU